rnacentral:lncRNA from 1 species
UGAUGAUACCGUUCGGCUACCAAUUCCACCUUGGCCAUGCAUGCCAGGUGGCGUGCGUGCGUGCGUUUUCCCCUUUCCCCGUGGCGAGAGCGAGACGAGCUGGGCUGGGCAGCCGGCCGGCGUGCCUGCCUGCCCGCCCGUGUAAAUAGCCGAGCCAGCAGCGAGUUUGCGUCCGCGAGCGAGUGUACAUUUCCCUCAACCUCAAGCGAGAUGACGACCAUGGUCCGUGGCGGAGCCAAGCCUCCCUGUAAAUUCAUUCUCCCCACUGUUCUUCUUCUUCUUCUUCUUCCUUUUUUCACUUUUAUUAGUUUCUAGUACCAUUUUGGGUUGCUUCCUGGAUCAAGGAAGCGAGCCAAAUUCGCGUGUGGUGAAACAGCGAGCUGUGCUGUUGGAGUGAGCGUGUUCUGGACUUGGUUUCUUCUGGUGGAUACGAUAGAAAGAUUGUGUGAUCUCUAGAAGAAAGAAAAAAAAAUCACCGGUUGGUUUGAACUGCAAUCCAAUCCACGACGGCCGUGCUGUUACAUUCAGGUUCUAGCGGUGUUAUCACUCCAUCUAUCUCAUCCCAGGUUCCUGCGGCAGGAGCGGGGCGUGGCUCGUGAGCCGUGGGUGAGCGAGCGAGUGACUUGCUAAAUCAGCAACGUUUUGCUGGUUCAACCGAGGACGACAGGUCGGAAUUUUCUAGUGGUCGCGCUGCCGUCUGCUCGCUGGGUCAGUCGAUCGGUCGUUGCCGCCAAAGGCUGGCUUCUUCUGCCGCUGCUUGUGGCCUAGAAGAAGAUGCAGCACGGAAUGGCCCCGCAGCAGCGGUAAAGCUGAAAAGAAAGAUCUCGCGCUCGCGCCCGGUAGGUUGGUUGAUUAUUCGUCCCCUGUAGCUGAAAAGGACGCUGCUCUUCGGCUGAAUCUGGCCACCGCCGGUAGUUCUCGGGCCCGGGGCCCUCCGACGAGGCAUGGAGCUCGUGCCCAUCCUCCCACACGACGCCGAUAUCUUCGAGUGUGGGAAACGGAUAGCGGGACACGUCAUCCGUCGUUGUGUCGAAUGGCACUUGUCGCCACCUCUCAGCAAGGAGUAGGUGAUUGGCUGGAUCCUACGCCCUUUUGGGACGAUGACGUCGUGUCAUGGCAUGGCAACGUCUCUUUACCGCAACGUGUAUUUUCCCUUCUUCUUUUUCUCUCCAACCACACGGCCUUAUCUCUGCGCGGUGCCGAGAAAAUCUCGGCUAUAAAGCUAUGGUACGCCUUUCGCGUAUACUCGAAAAAAGAAAAUCUUGGCUGUGUAUUUCAAAAUUGAGAAAGAUGGUUGCCAGAUAGUGGAACAUGCUGAUGUAGUUGGCGGGGGUCAUUGGUUAGAUAGUGCUGUUACGAGUACGCACUACGACGGCUAAGAAAUUACAUUGACCCGACUAAUCUUUAGCUCCACGACUCUUUCAGAGACAUAAGUAUGAUGACUGCAUGCUCCCUCGGCAUGUUUGACUAUUACUAUUCUUAUUCUUAUGUUUUUCAAGUUCCGUUCUACUCUACAACAAGAAACAGGGUUUUGACCCUUGCACAAGAAUCUAGCGGCAACGAAAUAUCGAGCAGGUAUGAGAUGACCAAAAAUGCAUAUAGCAUUCUUUGUUUGUUUUUGGGUGGUAAGGAAAUUUAUUGAUCAAGCAAUGUGGUUACAAUCGCCGUUCACAACACCGGCUAUUUCCUCGGGGUACACCCAGUACAAAAACUUGCCACUGGAAAAGAACCACAACACACUUUUUACCGUGUAAAUUUGCGGCUUGUGGGCAAUACAUGUUAAACAUGUAUCUGUGUAAAUUGUAAGGUUGAGUAGUGUAAACUUAGUCCACUCCUUGAUUAUAGGAUCUAGCAAGGCUCGUGGCAUGCGUGCCACAUUUUCAGGAGCUCUUGCUCUCUCCCUGAGGGGAUAUAUAUAUCUCUGUAACUUGAUGGUUCAGUCAAUAUACAUAAAAUCAUCUCUCCAACUUUGUAUAGCGCACCAUGGCCUCCUCUUCCUCCACCGCCGAAGCUACGAGCUCCGCCACCUCCCCCGGCGACCUCUCCUUCUCUUUGACGGCGCCUGCUGCGGCUCCCUCCUCUGCUUCCUCCCCGCCGUUCGUCUUCGGCACUUCCCCCGCCGCGGGCACCCAGUUUGCCCCUCUGUUCAACACCACCGUCCCCCCUGCUCCUCCGGCGCCUGCUCCCCGCCACCCCAUCUUCCUCGAUCACAUCACAAACCACAUCAAGUUCCUCCUCAACCCCGACGACCACAACUAUCACAAAUGGAAAACCUUCUUCAUCUUGGUUCUCGUCCGCUACGGCGUCUCCUACCUCAUCGAACACCCGCCCCCACCCAAUGCUUCCGCCACCUACCUUGAGCUUGAUGCCCAUGUCGUUCUGUGGAUCUACGCCACCCUCUCGGACACCAUGUGUGAUCACGUCGUCGGCGCCACCACCACUUUUGCCCUCUGGACCAAGAUCCGCGACUACUUUCUUGCCAAUCGCGCCGCUCGCUUCAUGAUCCUCAACCGCAAGUAUCGCAACCUCAAGCAGGGCGAUCUGUCUAUCUCCGAGUACGCCCGCCGGAUGAAACUCCUCACUGACGCUCUUGCCGACAUCGACCGCGCCGUCAUCGAGGUGGACCUCACCACGCAGUUCCUCCAUGGCCUCGACAAGCGGCUCGACACGAUCCGGGUCGUCCUUGGUGAUCAGGACCUGCCCUUCGACACCGUCCUCUCCCGGGUCGUCCUCGCCGAGGAAUCCCAGGAGCAUCGCGCGGCUGAAGAGAGCGCCUCCGUGUUCGCCCUGUCGAGUGACGGCGCCUCUGGUUCCAGCUCCACCUCGGGUGGUCGCGCCCCGGAUCAUGCGGAUCGCGCUCCUACUGGCGCCCCGGUCGCUCCUCCACAGUCGCACCCGCACCUCGGCCGUGGCCGAGGUGACCGCGAUGGUGGUGACUGCGGUGGACGUGGCCGUGGUCGUGGGCGUGGCGACAACACUGGACGUGGCCACGCCGCUCCUCCCUUUGCGUCGCCCUUCACCGGCUACUUCGCGCCCUUCGGGAUGGCGCUCCCCUCCCCGCGCUCCGGCUGGAUCCCGCCCAAUGCGGUCGACGUCCUUGGCCCGCGCCCCGGAUCCCAUGCGCAGGCUUACCCGCUCCUGCCCGCCCCGCCGGCGACUCAUGCGCCGUUCCACCAGCAUCCUCCUUCCUCCCGAGAACACGCGGCCAUGCUCAACGCCGCCUACAGCAACGACGGCUUCCCGUCCGCUCCUGCGCCCGAGUGGUACUUCGACAGUGGCGCUUCCUCUCUUGUGACCGGCAACCAAGGUAACCUCACCCGGUCUAGUUAUUCUUUAAAGCAUGUUCCCUCUAGCAUUUUGGUUGGCAAUGGGCACCACUUACCCGUCACGGCCACUGGCUCUACCUCCCUCCCUCCCAAUAAUUUUCGCCUCACCGAUGUCCUAGUUUCUCCUCAUGUUGUCACUAGCUUAAUUUCCGUUCAUCGUUUUACUAAGGACAAUUCUUGCUCAGUUAAAUUUUACCCUUGCAGUUUUCUUGUGAAGGAUCUUUGCACUCGGAGAGUUCUCAUGAUCUCCGUUAGCAACGGUGAUCUCUACCCCUUCUACGGUAGUAACCAUGCACCACCGGCGGCGUUCACUGUCUCCACGAUGGAUCUGUGGCAUCGUCGACUUGGGCACCCCGGCGCACACACUCUGUCUACCAUCGCCAAUGAUUUCCUUAGCUCAUGUAAUAAACGUGCCCACACUCCAUGUACUGCUUGUCAACUAGGACGCCAAGCGCGUCUCCCAUUUUCCUCCUCUUUUAGCAAAACAUAUGCCCCCUUUGAUUUAAUACAUUGUGACUUGUGGACAUCUCCCGUUGUAAGCUUCUCCGGAUUUCAAUAUGAUCUUGUUGUGCUAGAUGAUUUCACUCACUACUCUUGGACGUUUCCCUUGCGCAACAAGUCGGACACCUCCUCCACGCUACAACGCUUUUUCACAUUUAUCCACACCCAAUACAAUGUCAUUAUCAAAGCCAUGCAAUGCGAUAAUGGAGGGGAGUUUAUCAACUCAUCCCUUCGCUCCUUCUUCUCUGCCAACGACAUCGUUUAUCGCUUCUCCUGCCCCCCACAUCUCCCCAAAACGGCAAAGCGGAGCGUCUCAUUCGCACUACCAACGACGUAGUUCGCUCCCUUCUCAUCCAAGCCAACCUUACUCCCCCUUUCUGGGUCGAAGCUUUACACACUGCCACCUACCUUCUCAAUCGCCGCCCCUCUCGAGCCAUCGCUGACAACACACCAUACUUUCUCCUACACGGCGCUCAUCCAUCCUAUGACCAUCUACGCGUGUUUGGCUGCUUGUGUUUUCCCAACACAUCCGCAACUAUGCCUCACAAACUUUCCCCUCGCUCGACUCGCUGCGUUUUCUUAGGGUACCCCCUCGAACACAAGGGGUACAUGUGCUAUGAUUUAUCCACUCGCCGCGUUAUUGUCUCUCGGCAUGUCACUUUUGACGAAAACUCAUUUCCGUAUACACAGCACCAGCUACACAGUCCAACCCCGCACCAGAUCCGCCCACCUGCACGCGCUACCCACCCAAUCUCUCGGAUCUGCCGCCCCCGCCUACCGCGUACUGGCCCCACGCCCCACCAUCCCCGCCUUCCCACCAAUCGCGCAGCCCCGCACCCACCUGCCGCCAACCACAUGCCGACCCCACCUCCACUCCCCGCGUCGCGGAGCAAACCCCUUUGUCCGGAUCCACCUCGCCAGCUGUGCCCCCGUCCCCAUCAACCACUCACGUCGCAUCCACCCCGCGCUCCGCGCCUGUCAGCCCUGACUCAGCUGUCGCCCAGUCUUCCGCGCCUGUCGCCUGCCCCACCGAAUCCUCCUCGGGAUCUGAGGCAUGCACACCCUCUCCCCCUCUGCCACGUCUCCCUCGCCAUGCACAACCAGCAAACCCCCCACGUAAUUCCCACAAAAUGACUACUCGAGCCAAACACGGCUAUUGCAUGCCGCGCCGUCUCUUUCUUGCUGAUGCAACUUCCACGCCCAUAUCAACUAUUCCACCCACGUACAAAACAACACUUAAGGACCCUAAUUGGCACCAUGCUAUGCAAGAGGAGUAUCAUACUUUAAUCAAUAACUCUACUUGGUCUUUGGUGCCUAAGCCUGCAGGUGUCAACAUUGUUAUGGGGAAGUGGAUAUUUCGUCACAAGUUCCACACGGAUGGCUCUUUAGCUCGCUACAAAGCUUGGUGGGUUGUCCGGGGAUUCACUCAACAGGAGGGUGUGGAUUACGAUGAGACUUUCAGUCCGGUCGUCAAACCAGCCACUAUCCGUGUGGUGCUCAGCCUUGCAACCUCUCACUCCUGGCCAAUACAUCAACUGGAUGUCAAAAAUGCGUUUCUUCAUGGUGAUCUCAAGGAGACUGUUUACUGUUCACAACCGGCUGGUUUUGUUGACGCUUCUGUUGGGGAACGUUGCAGAAAACAAAAAAUUUCCUACGGUUUCACCAAGAUCCAUCUAUGAGUUCAUCUAGCACGAGUGAUCGGAUUGCAUCUACAUACCUUUCUAGAUCACGCCCGGAAGCGUUCAAAGAACGGGGAUGAGGAAGUCGUACUCGACGUGAUCCAAAUCACCGGAGAUCCUAGCGCUGAACGGACGGCACCUCCGUGUUCAACACACGUACGGUCAGCGUGACGUCUCCUCCUUCUUGAUUCAGCAAGGGGGGAGGAGAGGUUGAUGAAGAUCCAGCAGCACGACAGCGUGGUGGUGGAUGCAGCAGUCACCGCAGCAGGGCUUCGCCGUUCUUCUGCGAGAGGGAGAGGUGUAGCAGGGGAGAGGGAGGCGCCAAGAGUCAAGGGUGCGGCUGCCCCUCCCUCCCCCUCUUUAUAUAGGCUUCCCUAGGGGGGGCGCCGGCCCUAGGAGAUGGGAUCUCCUUGGGGNNNNNNNNNNNNNNNNNNNNNNNNNNNNNNNNNNNNNNNNNNNNNNNNNNNNNNNNNNNNNNNNNNNNNNNNNNNNNNNNNNNNNNNNNNNNNNNNNNNNNNNNNNNNNNNNNNNNNNNNNNNNNNNNNNNNNNNNNNNNNNNNNNNNNNNNNNNNNNNNNNNNNNNNNNNNNNNNNNNNNNNNNNNNNNNNNNNNNNNNNNNNNNNNNNNNNNNNNNNNNNNNNNNNNNNNNNNNNNNNNNNNNNNNNNNNNNNNNNNNNNNNNNNNNNNNNNNNNNNNNNNNNNNNNNNNNNNNNNNNNNNNNNNNNNNNNNNNNNNNNNNNNNNNNNNNNNNNNNNNNNNNNNNNNNNNNNNNNNNNNNNNNNNNNNNNNNNNNNNNNNNNNNNNNNNNNNNNNNNNNNNNNAGGGUGGAGUGGCCCCCAAGGCAAGUGGGGCGCCCCCCACCCUAGGGUUCCCAACCCUAGGCGCAUGGGGUGGGCCAAAGGGGGCGCACCAGCCCACUAUGGGCUGGUUCCCCUCCCCACUUCAGCCCAUGGGGCCCUCCGGGAUGGGUGGCCCCACCCGGUGGACCCCCGGGACCCUUCCGGUGGUCCCGAUACAAUACCGGUGACCCCCGAAACUCUCCCGAUGGCCGAAACUGCACUUCCUAUAUAUAAUUCUUCACCUCCGGACCAUUCCGAAACUCCUCGUGACGUCUGGGAUCUCAUCCGGGACUCCGAACAACUUUCGGGUUACUGCAUAUUCAUAUCUCUACAACCCUAGCGUCACCGAACCAUAAGUGUGUAGACCCUACGGGUUCGGGAGACAUGUAGACAUGACCGAGACGGCUCUCCGGUCAAUAACCAACAACGGGAUCUGGAUACCCAUGUUGGCUCCCACAUGCUCCUCGAUGAUCUCAUCAGAUGAACCAUGAUGUCGAGGAUUCAAGCAACCCCGUAUACAAUUCCCUUUGUCAAUCGGUAUGUUACUUGCCUGAGAUUCGAUCGUCAGCAUCCCAAUACCUCGUUCAAUCUCGUUACCGGCAAGUCACUUUACUCGUACCGUAAUGCAUGAUCCCGUGACCAGACACUUGGUCACUUUGAGCUCAUUAUGAUGAUGCAUUACCGAGUGGGCCCAGAGAUACCUCUCCGUCAUACGGAGUGACAAAUCCCAGUCUUGAUCCGUGUCAACCCAACAGACACUUUCGGAGAUACCCGUAGUAUACCUUUAUAGUCACCCAAUUACGUUGUGACGUUUGGUACACCCAAAGCACUCCUAUGGUAUCCGGGAGUUACACGAUGUCACGGUCUAAGGAAAAGAUACUUGACAUUGAAAAAACUCUAGCAAACGAACUAUAUGAUCUUGUGCUAUGUUUAGGAUUGGGUCUUGUCCAUCACACCAUUCUCCUAAUGAUGUGAUCUCGUUAUCAAUGACAUCCAAUGUCCAUAGUCAGGAAACCAUGACUAUCUGUUGAUCAACGAGCUAGUCAACUAGAGGCUUACUAGGGACAUGUUGGUGUCUAUGUAUUCACACAUGUAUUACGAUUUCCGGAUAACACAAUUAUAGCAUGAAUAAAAGACAAUUAUCAUGAACAAGGAAAUAUAAUAAUAAUCCUUUUAUUAUUGCCUCUACUGCAUAUUUCCAACAGUCUCCCACUUGCACUAGAGUCAAUAAUCUAGUUACAUUGUGAUGAAUCGAACACCCAUGGAAUUCUGGUGUUGAUCAUGUUUUGCUCUAGGGAGAGGUUUAGUCAACGGAUCUGCUACAUUCAGGUCCGUAUGUACUUUACAAAUACCUAUGUCUCCAUCUUGAACAUUUUCACGAAUGGAGUUGAAGCGACGCUUGAUGUGCCUGGUCUUUUUGUGAAACCUAGGCUCCUUGGCAAGUGCAAUAGCUCCAGUGUUGUCACAGAAGAGUUUGAUCGGCCCCGACGCAUUGGGUAUGACUCCUAGGUCGGUGAUGAACUCCUUCACCCAAAUUGCUUCAUGCACUGCCUCCGAGGCUGCCAUGUACUCCGCUUCACAUGUAGAUCCCGCCAUGACGCUCUGCUUGCAACUGCACCAGCUUACUGCCCCACCAUUCAAAAUAUACACAUAUCCUGUUUGUGACUUAGAGUCAUCUAGAUCUGUGUCGAAGCUAGCAUCGACGUAACCCUUUACGACGAGCUCUUUGUCACCUCCAUAAACGAGAAACAUUUCCUUAGUCCUUUUCAGGUACUUCAGGAUAUUCUUGACCGCUGUCCAGUGUUCCUUGCCGGGAUUACUUUGGUACCUACCUACCAAACUUACGACAAGGUUUACAUCAGGUCUGGUACACAGCAUGGCAUACAUAAUAGAACCUAUGGCUGAGGCAUAGGGGAUGACACUCAUCUCUUCUAUAUCUUCUGCCGUGGUCGGACAUUGAGCUGAGCUCAAUUUCACACCUUGCAACACAGGCAAGAACCCCUUCUUAGACUGAUCCAUAUUGAACUUCUUCAAUAUCUUAUCAAGGUAUGUGCUUUGUGAAAGACCUAUGAGGCGUCUUGAUCUAUCUCUAUAGAUCUUGAUGCCUAAUAUAUAAGCAACUUCUCCAAGGCCCUUCAUUGAAAAACUCUUAUUCAAGUAGGCCUUAAUGCUGUCCAAAAGCUCUAUAUCAUUUUCCAUCAAAAGUAUGUCAUCUACAUAUAAUAUGAGAAAUGCUACAGAGCUCCCACUCACUUUCUUGUAAACGCAGGCUUCUCCAUAAGUCUGCAUAAACCCAAACGCUUUGAUCAUCUCAUCAAAGUGAAUGUUCCAACUCCGAGAUGCUUGCACCAGCCCAUAAAUCGAGCGUUGGAGCUUGCACACCUUGUCAGCAUUCUUAGGAUCGACAAAACCUUCCGGCUGCAUCAUAUACAAUUCUUCCUUAAGGAAACCAUUAAGGAAUGCCGUUUUGACAUCCAUUUGCCAUAUCUCAUAAUCAUAGAAUGCGGCAAUUGCUAACAUGAUUCGGACAGACUUCAGCUUCACUACGGGUGAGAAAGUCUCAUCGUAGUCAACCCCUUGAACUUGUCGAUAACCCUUAGCGACAAGCCGAGCUUUAUAGAUGGUCACAUUUCCAUCCGCGUCUGUCUUCUUCUUAAAGAUCCAUUUAUUUUCUACGGCUCGCCGCUCAACGGGCAAGUCAGUCAAAGUCCAUACUUCGUUUUCAUACAUGGAUCCUAUCUCGGAUUUCAUGGCUUCCAGCCAUUUGUCGGAAUCCGGGCCCACCAUCGCUUCUUCAUAGUUCGAAGGUUCACCGUUGUCUAACAACAUGAUUUCCAAGACAUGGUUGUCGUACCACUCUGGUGCGGAACGUGUCCUUGUGGACCUACGAAGUUCAGUAGCAACUUGAUCUGAAGUUUCAUGAUCAUCAUCAUUAACCUCCUCUCUAGUUGGUGCAAGCACCUCAGGAACAUUUUCUUGAGUUGCGCCAUUUUCCGGUUCAAGAGGUAAUACUUCAUCAAGUUCUACUUUCCUCCCACUUACUUCUUUCGAGAGAAACUCUUUCUCUAGAAAGGAUCCAUUCUUGGCAACAAAGAUCUUGCCUUCGGAUCUGAGGUAGAAGGUAUACCCAAUAGUUUCUUUAGGGUAUCCUAUGAAGACGCAUUUUUCUGACUUGGGUUCGAGCUUUUCAGGUUGAAGUUUCUUGACAUAAGCAUCGCAUCCCCAAACUUUUAGAAACGACAGCUUAGGUUUCUUCCCAAACCAUAAUUCAUACGGUGUCGUCUCAACGGAUUUCGACGGAGCCCUAUUUAAAGUGAAUGCGGCAGUCUCUAAAGCAUAGCCCCAAAAAGAUAGUGGUAAAUCAGUAAGAGACAUCAUAGAUCGCACCAUAUCUAAUAGAGUGCGAUUACGAUGUUCGGACACACCAUUACGCUGAGGUGUUCCAGGCGGCGUGAGUUGUGAAACUAUUCCACUUUUUCUUAAGUGUGUGCCAAAUUCGUGACUCAAGUAUUCUCCUCCACGAUCUGAUCGCAAGAACUUGAUUUUCCUGUCACGUUGAUUCUCAACCUCACUCUGAAAUUCCUUGAACCUUUCAAAGGUCUCAGACUUGUGUUUCAUUAAGUAGACAUACCCAUAUCUACUCACGUCAUCAGUGAGGGUGAGAACAUAACGAUAACCACCGCGAGCCUCAACACUCACUGGACCGCACACAUCAGUAUGUAUGAUUUCCAAUAAGUUGGUUGCUCGCUCCAUUGUUCCUGAGAACGGAGUCUUGGUCAUUUUACCCAUGAGGCAUGGUUCGCACGUGUCAAAUGAUUCGUAAUCAAGAGACUCUAAAAGUCCAUCUGCAUGGAGCUUCUUCAUGCGUUUGACACCUAUGUGACCAAGGCGGCAGUGCCACAAGUAUGUGGGACUAUCAUUAUCAACCUUACAUCUUUUGGUACUCACACUAUGAAUAUGUGUAGCAUUACGCUCGAGAUUCAUUAAGAAUAAACCAUUCACCAUCGGAGCAUGACCAUAAAACAUAUCUCUCAUAUAAAUAGAACAACCAUUAUUCUCGGAUUUAAAUGAGUAGCCAUCUCGUAUUAAACGAGAUCCUGAUACAAUGUUCAUGCUAAAACUUGGCACUAAAUAACAAUUAUUGAGGUUCAAAACUAAUCCCGUAGGUAAAUGUAGAGGCAGCGUGCCGACGGCGAUCACAUUGAGCUUGGAACCAUUCCCGACGCGCAUCGUCACCUCGUCCUUCGCCAGUCUCCGCUUAUUCCGCAGCUCCUGCUUUGAGUUACAAAUGUGAGCAACUGCACCGGUAUUAAAUACCCAGGAGCUACUACGAGUACUGGUAAGGUACACAUCAAUUACAUGUAUAUCACAUAUACCUUUCGUUUUGCUGGCCUUCUUAUCCGCUAAGUAUUUGGGGCAGUUCCGCUUCCAGUGACCACUUUCCUUGCAAUAAAAGCACUCAGUCUCGGGCUUGGGUCCAUUCUUUGGCUUCUUCCCGGCAGCUUGCUUUCCGGGCGCGGCAACUCCCUUGCUGUAUUUCUUGAAGUUCUUCUUACCCUUGCCUUUCUUGAUCUUAGUGGUUUUAUUCACCAUCAACACUUGAUGUUCCUUUUUGACUUCUACCUCUGCUGAUUUCAGCAUUGCAAAUACUUCAGGAAUGGACUUUUCCAUCCCCUGCAUAUUGAAGUUCAUCACAAAGCUCUUGUAGCUCGGUGGAAGCGACUGAAGGAUUCUGUCAAUGACUGCGUCAUCCGGGAGAUUAACUCCCAGCUGAGUCAAGCGGUUAUGUAACCCUGACAUAGUGAGUAUGUGCUCACUGACAGAACUAUUUUCCUCCAUCUUACAGCUGAAGAACUUGUCGGAGACUUCAUAUCUCUCGACCCGGGCAUGAGCUUGAAAAACCAUUUUCAGCUCUUCGAACAUCUCAUAUGCUCCAUGUCUCUCAGAACGCUUUUGGAGGCCCGGCUCUAAGCUGUAAAGCAUGCCGCACUGAACGAGGGAGUAAUCAUUGGUACGUGUCUGCCAAGCAUUCAUAACGUCUUGUUCUCCAGGGAGAGCAGGUGCUUCACCUAGCGGUGCUUGUAGGACAUAAUCUUUCUUGGCAGCUAUGAGGAUGAUCCUCAGGUUUCGGACCCAGUCCGUAUAGUUGUUGCCAUCGUCUUUCAGCUUGGUUUUCUCUAGGAACGCGUUGAAGUUGAGGACAACGUUGGCCAUUUGAUCUACAAGACAUAUUGUAAAUGUUUUAGACUAAGUUCAUCAUAAUUAAGUUCAUCUAUUUAAUGAACUCCCACUCAGAUAGAAAUCCCUCCAGGCAUCUAAGUAUAACAUGAUCCGAGUUAACUAGGCCGUGUCCGAUGAUCACGUGAGAUGGACUAGUCAACAUCGGUGAACAUCUUCAUGUUGAUCGUAUCUUCUAUACGACUCAUGCUCGACCUGUCGGUCUUCUGUGUUCCGAGGCCAUGUCUGUACAUGCUAGGCUCGUCAAGUCAACCUAAGUGUUUGCAUGUGUAAAUCUGUCUUACACCCGUUGUAUGUGAACAUUGGAAUCUAUCACACCCGAUCAUCACGUGGUGCUUCGAAACAACAAACUGUCGCAACGGCGCACAGUUAGGGGGAACACUUGUUGGGUUUCAUAGUAAUUUCAAAAUUUUCCUACGCUCACGCAAGAUCAUGUGAUGCAUAGCAACGAGAUGGGAGAGUGUUGUCUAUGUACCCACGCAGACCGACUGCGGAAGUGUUGACGCAACGUAGAGGAAGUAGUCGUACGUCUUCACGAUCUAACCGAUCAAGCACCGAAACUACGGCACCUCCGAGUUCGAGCACACGUUCAGCUCGAUGACGAUCCCCGGACUCCGAUCCAGCAAAGUGUCGGGGAAGAGUUCCGUCAGCACGACGGCGUGGUGACAAUCUUGAUGCACUACAGCAGCAGGGCUUCGCCUAAACUCCGCUACAGUAUUAUCGAGGACUAUGGUGGCUGGGGGCACCGCACACGGCUAAGGAAUAGAUCACGUGGAUCAACUUGUGUGUUCUAGGGUGCCUCUACCUCAGUAUAUAAAGGACCAAAGGGGGGAGGCUGGCCGGCCACAAGGGGUGCGCCAGGAGAGUCCUACUCCCUCUNNNNNNNNNNNNNNNNNNNNNNNNNNNNNNNNNNNNNNNNNNNNNNNNNNNNNNNNNNNNNNNNNNNNNNNNNNNNNNNNNNNNNNNNNNNNNNNNNNNNNNNNNNNNNNNNNNNNNNNNNNNNNNNNNNNNNNNNNNNNNNNNNNNNNNNNNNNNNNNNNNNNNNNNNNNNNNNNNNNNNNNNNNNNNNNNNNNNNNNNNNNNNNNNNNNNNNNNNNNNNNNNNNNNNNNNNNNNNNNNNNNNNNNNNNNNNNNNNNNNNNNNNNNNNNNNNNNNNNNNNNNNNNNNNNNNNNNNNNNNNNNNNNNNNNNNNNNNNNNNNNNNNNNNNNNNNNNNNNNNNNNNNNNNNNNNNNNNNNNNNNNCCCCCCCAAUCCUAGUUGGAAUAGGAUUCGCGGAGGGGGAAAAGAGAGAGAGGGGGCCGGCCACCUCUCCUAGUCCUAAUAGGACUAGGGGAAGGGGGAGGCGCGCAGCCCAUGUAGGGCUGCCUCUUCUCUUUUCCACUAAGGCCCAUCAUGGCCCAUUUAGCUCCCGGGGGGUUCCGGUAACCUUCCCGGUACUCCGGUAAAAUCCCGAUUUCACCCGGAACACUUCCGAUAUCCAAACAUAGGCUUCCAAUAUAUCAAUCUUUACGUCUCGACCAUUUCGAGACUCCUCGUCAUGUCCGUCAUCACAUCCGAGACUCCGAACAACCUUCGGUACACCAAAAUGCAUAAACUCAUAAUAUAACAGUCAUCGUAACCUUAAGCGUGCGGACCCUACGGGUUCGAGAACAAUGUAGACUUGACCGAGACAUGCCUCCGGUCAAUAACCAAUAGCGGGACCUGGAUGCCCAUAUUGGCUCCUACAUAUUCUACGAAGAUCUUUAUUGGUCAGACCGCAUAACAACAUACGUUGUUCCCUUUGUCAUCGGUAUGUUACUUGCCCGAGAUUCGAUCGUUGGUAUCCAAUACCUAGUUCAAUAUCGUUACCGGCAAGUCUCUUUACUCGUUCUGUAAUACAUAAUCCCGCAACUAACUCAUUAGUUGCAAUGCUUGCAAGGCUUAUGUGAUGUGCAUUACCGAGAGGGCCCAGAGAUACCUCUCCGACAAUCGGAGUGACAAAACCUAAUCUCGAAAUACGCCAACCCAACAUGUACCUUUGGAGACACCUGUAGUACUCCUUUAUAAUCACCCAGUUACGUUGUGACGUUUGGUAGUACCCAAAGUGUUCCUCCAGUAAACGGGAGUUGCAUAAUGGAGAAAGCAAUAGCAACAUACUAAACAAUCGGGUGCUAAGCUAAUGGAAUGGGUCAUGUCAAUCAGAUCAUUCAACUAAUGAUGUGACCUCGUUAAUCAAAUAACAACUCAUUGUUCAUGGUUAGGAAACAUAACCAGCUUUGAUUAACGAGCUAGUCAAGUAGAGGCAUACUAGUGACACUUUGUUUGUCUAUGUAUUCACACAUGUAUUAUGUUUCCGGUUAAUACAAUUCUAGCAUGAAUAAUAAACAUUUAUCAUGAUUAUAAGGAAAUAAAUAAUAACUUUAUUAUUGCCUCUAGGGCAUAUUUCCUUCAGUCUCCCACUUGCACUAGAGUCAAUAAUCUAGAUUACACUAUAAUGAUUCUAACACCCAUGGAGCCUUGGUGCUGAUCAUGUUUUGCUCGUGGAAGAGGCUUAGUCAAUGGGUCUGCAACAUUCAGAUCCGUAUGUAUCUUGCAAAUCUCUAUGUCUCCCACCUGGACUAGAUCCCGGAUGGAAUUGAAGCGUCUCUUGAUGUGCUUGGUUCUCUUGUGAAAUCUAGAUUCCUUUGCCAAGGCAAUUGCACCAGUAUUGUCACAAAAGAUUUUCAUUGGACCCGAUGCACUAGGUAUGACACCUAGAUCGGAUAUGAACUCCUUCAUCCAGACUCCUUCAUUUGCUGCUUCCGAAUCAGCUAUGUACUCCGCUUCACAUGUAGAUCCCGCUACGACGCUUUGUUUAGAACUGCACCAACUGACAGCUCCACCGUUUAAUGUAAACACGUAUCCAGUUUGCGAUUUUGAAUCGUCUGGAUCAGUGUCAAAGCUUGCAUCAACGUAACCUUUUACGACGAGAUCUUUGUCACCUCCAUAUACGAGAAGCAUAUCCUUAGUCCUUUUCAGGUAUUUCAGGAUGUUCUUGACCGCUGUCCAAUGAUCCACUCCUGGAUUACUUUGGUACCUCCCUGCUAGACUUAUAGCAAGGCACACAUCAGGUCUGGUACACAGCAUUGCAUACAUGAUAGAUCCUAUUGCUGAUGCAUAGGGAACAUCUUUCAUAUUCUCUCUAUCUUCUGCAGUGGUCGGGCAUUGAGUCUUACUCAAUUUCACACCUUGUAACACAGGCAAGAAUCCUUUCUUUGCUUGAUCCAUUUUGAACUUCUUCAAAAUUUUGUCAAGGUAUGUUGUUUGUGAAAGUCCAAUUAAGGGUCUUGAUCUAUCUCUAUAGAUCUUUAUGCCUAAUAUGUAAGCAGCUUCACCUAGGUCUUUCAUUGAAAAACUCUUAUUCAAGUAUCCCUUUAUGCUAUCCAGAAAUUCUAUAUUAUUUCCAAUUAACAAUAUGUCAUCCACAUAUAAUAUCAGAAAUGCUACAGAGCUCCCACUCACUUUCUUGUAAAUACAGGCUUCUCCGAAAGUCUGUAUAAAACCAAAUGCUUUGAUCACACUAUCAAAACGUUUAUUCCAACUCCGAGAGGCUUGCACCAGUCCAUAAAUGGAUCGCUGGAGCUUGCACACUUUGUUAGCUCCCUUUGGAUUGACAAAACCUUCUGGUUGCAUCAUAUACAACUCUUCUUCCAGAAAUCCAUUCAGGAAUGCAGUUUUGACAUCCAUCUGCCAAAUUUCAUAAUCAUAAAAUGCGGCAAUUGCUAACAUGAUUCGGACAGACUUAAGCAUCGCUACGGGUGAGAAGGUCUCAUCGUAGUCAAUCCCUUGAACUUGACGAAAACCUUUUGCGACAAGUCGAGCUUUGUAGACAGUAACAUUACCGUCAGCGCCAGUCUUCUUCUUGAAGAUCCAUUUAUUCUCAAUUGCUUGCCGAUCAUCGGGCAAGUCAACCAAAGUCCAUACUUUGUUCUCAUACAUGGAUCCCAUCUCAGAUUUCAUGGCUUCAAGCCACUUUGCGGAAUCUGGGCUCACCAUCGCUUCUUCAUAGUUCGCAGGUUCAUCAUGAUCUAAUAACAUGACUUGCAGAACAGGAUUACCGUACCACUCUGGUGCGAAUCUUACUCUGGUUGAUCUACGAGGUUCAGUAGUAUCUUGUUCUGAAGUUUCAUGAUCAUCAUCAUUAGCUUCCUCACUGACUGGUGUAGGUGUCGCAGAAACAGUUUUUUGUGAUGUACUACUUUCCAAUAAGGGAGCAGGUACAGUUACCUCGUCAAGUUCUACUUUCCUCCCACUCACCUCGUAAAGUAGAACUUGACGAGGUAACUGUACCUGCUCCCUUAUUGGAAAGUAGUACAUCACAGAAAACUGUUUCUGCGACACCUACACUAGUCAGUGAGGAAGCUAAUGAUGAUGAUCAUGAAACUUCAGAACAAGAUACUACUGAACCUCGUAGAUCAACCAGAGUAAGAUCCGCACCAGAGUGGUACGGUAAUCCUGUUCUGGAAGUCAUGUUAUUAGAUCAUGAUGAACCUGCGAACUAUGAAGAAGCGAUGGUGAGCCCAGAUUCCGCAAAGUGGAUUGAAGCCAUGAAAUCUGAGAUGGGAUCCAUGUAUGAGAACAAAGUAUGGACUUUGGUUGACUUGCCCGAUGAUCGGCAAGCAAUUGAGAAUAAAUGGAUCUUCAAGAAGAAGACUGACGCUGACGGUAAUGUUACUGUCUACAAAGCUCGACUUGUCACAAAAGGUUUUCGGCAAGUUCAAGGGAUUGACUACGAUGAGACCUUCUCACCCGUAGCGAUGCUUAAGUCUGUCCAAAUCAUGUUAGCAAUUACCGCAUUUUAUGAUUAUGAAAUUUGGCAGAUGGAUGUCAAAACUGCAUUCCCGAAUGGAUUUCUGGAAGAAGAGUUGUAUAUGAUGCAACCAGAAGGUUUUGUCGAUCCAAAGGGAGCUAACAAAGUGUGCAAGCUCCAGCGAUCCAUUUAUGGACUGGUGCAAGCCUCUCGGAGUUGGAAUAAACGUUUUGAUAGUGUGAUCAAAGCAUUUGGUUUUAUACAGACUUUCGGAGAAGCCUGUAUUUACAAGAAAGUGAGUGGGAGCUCUAUAGCAUUUCUGAUAUUAUAUGUGGAUGACAUAUUGUUAAUUGGAAAUAAUAUAGAAUUUCUGGAUAGCAUAAAGGGAUACUUAAAUAAGAGUUUUUCAAUGAAAGACCUCGGUGAAGCUGCUUACAUAUUAGGCAUAAAGAUCUAUAGAGAUAGAUCAAGACGCUUAAUUGGACUUUCACAAACAACAUACCUUGACAAAAUUUUGAAGAAGUUCAAAAUGGACCAAGCAAAGAAAGGAUUCUUGCCUGUGUUACAAGGUGUGAAAUUGAGUAAGACUCAAUGCCCGACCACUGCAGAAGAUAGAGAGAAUAUGAAAGAUGUUCCCUAUGCAUCAGCAAUAGGAUCUAUCAUGUAUGCAAUGCUGUGUACCAGACCUGAUGUGUGCCUUGCUAUAAGUCUAGCAGGGAGGUACCAAAGUAAUCCAGGAGUGGAUCACUGGACAGCGGUCAAGAACAUCCUGAAAUACCUGAAAAGGACUAAGGAUAUGCUUCUCGUAUAUGGAGGUGAGAAAGAGCUCGUCGUAAAAGGUUACGUUGAUGCAAGCUUUGACACUGAUCCAGAUGAUUCUAAAUCGCAAACUGGAUACGUGUUUACAUUAAACGGUGGAGCUGUCAGUUGGUGCAGUUCUAAACAAAGCGUCGUAGCGGGAUCUACAUGUGAAGCGGAGUACAUAGCUGCUUCAGAAGCAGCAAAUGAAGGAGUCUGGAUGAAGGAGUUCAUAUCCGAUCUAGGUGUCAUACCUAGUGCAUCGGGUCCAAUGAAAAACUUUUGUGACAAUACUGGUACAAUUGCCUUGGCAAAGGAAUCCAGAUUUCACAAGAGAACCAAGCACAUCAAGAGACACUUCAAUUCCAUCCAGGAUCUAGUCCAGGUGGGAGACAUAGAGAUUUGCAAGAUACAUACGGAUCUGAAUGUUGCAGACCCAUUGACUAAGCCUCUUCCACGAGCAAAACAUGAUCAGCACCAAGGCUCCAUGGGUGUUAGAAUCAUUACAGUGUAAUCUAGAUUAUUGACUCUAGUGCAAGUGGGAGACUGAAGGAAAUAUGCCCUAGAGGCAAUAAUAAAGUUAUUAUUUAUUUCCUUAUAAUCAUGAUAAAUGUUUAUUAUUCAUGCUAGAAUUGUAUUAACCGGAAACAUAAUACAUGUGUGAAUACAUAGACAAACAAAGCGUCACUAGUAUGCCUCUACUUGACUAGCUCGUUAAUCAAAGAUGGUUAUGUUUCCUAACCAUGAAUAAUGAGUUGUUAUUUGAUUAACAAGGUCACAUCAUUAGAUGAUCUGAUUGACAUGACCCAUUCCAUUAGCUUAGCACCCGAUCAUUUAGUAUGUUGCUAUUGCUUUCUUCAUGACUUAUACAUGUUCCUAUAACUAUGAGAUUAUGCAACUCCCGUUUACCGGAGGAACACUUUGGGUACUACCAAACGUCACAACGUAACUAGGUGAUUAUAAAGGAGUACUACAGGUGUCUCCAAAGGUACAUGUUGGGUUGGCGUAUUUCGAGAUUAGGUUUUGUCACUCCGAUUGUCGGAGAGGUAUCUCUGGGCCCUCUCGGUAAUGCACAUCACAUAAGCCUUGCAAGCAUUACAACUAAUAUGUUCGUUGUGAGAUGAUGUAUUACGGAACAAGUAAAGAGACUUGCCGGUAACGAGAUUGAACUAGGUAUUGGAUACCGACGAUCAAAUCUCGGGCAAGUAACAUACCGAUGACAAAGGGAACAACGUAUGUUGUUAUGCGGUCUGACCGAUAAAGAUCUUCAUAGAAUAUGUAGGAGCCAAUAUGGGCAUCCAGGUCCCGCUAUUGGUUAUUGACCGGAGACGUGUCUCGGUCAUGUCUACAUUGUUCUCGAACUCGUAGGGUCCGCACGCUUAAGGUUACGAUGACAGUUAUAUUAUGAGUUUAUGCAUUUUGAUGUACCGAAGGUUGUUCGGAGUCCCGGAUGUGAUCACGGACAUGACGAGGAGUCUCGAAACGGUCGAGACAUAAAGAUUGAUAUAUUGGAAGCCUAUGUUUGGAUAUCGGAAGUGUUCCGGGUGAAAUCGGGAUUUUACCGGAGUACCGGGAAGGUUACCGGAACCCCCCGGGAGCUAAAUGGGCCAUGAUGGGCCUUAGUGGAAAAGAGAAGAGGCAGCCCUACAUGGGCUGCGCGCCUCCCCCUUCCCUAGUCCUAUUAGGACUAGGAGAGGUGGCCGGCCCCCUCUCUCUCUUUUCCCCCUCCGUGAAUCCUAUUCCAACUAGGAUGGGGGGGGAUCCUACUCCCAGAGGGAGUAGGACUCUCCUGGCGCACCCCUUGUGGCCGGCCAGCCUCCCCCCUUUGGUCCUUUAUAUACUGAGGUAGAGGCACCCUAGAACACACAAGUUGAUCCACGUGAUCUAUUCCUUAGCCGUGUGCGGUGCCCCCAGCCACCAUAGUCCUCGAUAAUACUGUAGCGGAGUUUAGGCGAAGCCCUGCUGCUGUAGUGCAUCAAGAUCGUUACCACGCCGUCGUGCUGACGGAACUCUUCCCCGACACUUUGCUGGAUCGGAGUCCGGGGAUCGUCAUCGAGCUGAACGUGUGCUCGAACUCGGAGGUGUCGUAGUUUCGGUGCUUGAUCGGUUGGAUCGUGAAGACGUACGACUACUUCCUCUACGUUGCGUCAAUGCUUCCGCAGUCGGUCUGCGUGGGUACGUAGACAACACUCUCCCAUCUCAUUGCUAUGCAUCACAUGAUCUUGCGUGAGCGUAGGAUUUUUUUUGACUUUACUAAGAAACCCAACAACUAUGGCAUUCAGCUCUACAAUUCACCCUCUCAUGAUCUCAUUGCCUACACCGACACUGAUUGGGCAGGGUGUCUCGAUACUCGCAAGUCCACUUCUGGGUUCUGCGUUUUUCUUGGCAACAACAUCAUUUCUUGGUCCUCAAAGCGUCAACCCACCGUCUCCAGGUCCAAUGCCGAAGCAGAAUACCGGGGUGUCGCCAACUGUGUUGCAGAAUCUUGCUGGCUACGCCAACUCUUGCAUGAUCUCAAGUAUCCUCCGACCCGGGCUACUGUGGUUUAUUGUGACAAUGUCUGUUGGGGAUCGUAGCAGAAAUUCAAAAUUUUCUACGCAUCACCAAGAUCAAUCUAUGGAGUAAUCUAGCAACGAGGGGAAGGAGAGUGCAUCUACAUACCCUUGUAGAUCGCUAAGCGGAAGCGUUCAAGUGAACGGGGUUGAUGGAGUCGUACUCGUCGUGAUCCAAAUCACCGAUGAUCCUAGUGCCGAACGGACGGCACCUCCGCGUUCAACACACAUGCAGCCCGGUGACGUCUCCCAUGCCCUGAUCCAGCAAGGAGAGAGGGAGAGGUUGGGGAAGACUCCGUCCAGCAGCAGCACGACGGCAUGCUGGUGGUGGAGGAGCAUGGUACUCCUGCAGGGCUUCUCCAAGCACCGCAAGAGAUGAGGAGGGAGAGGGGUAGGGCUGCGCCAAGAAGGAGAUGUUCUCGUGUGUAUGGCAGCCCAAAACCCCACUAUAUAUAGGGGAAAGGGAGGGGCUGCACCCCCACCUAGGUUUCCACCCCUAGGGGUGGCGGCUAGCCCUAGAUCCCAUCUAGGGGGGCGGCCAAGGGGGGAGAGAGGGGGGCGCACCAUUAGGUGGGCCUUAGGCCCAUCUGAGCCUAGGGUUUCCCCCUUUUCCCUUCUCUCUUCGCCUUGGGCCCUGGUGGGGGGGCGCACCAGCCCACCUGGGGCUGGUCCCCUCUCACACUUGGCCCACGCAGCCUUCUGGGGCAGGUAGCCCCACCUGGUGGACCCCCGGGACCCUCCCGGUGGUCCCGGUACGUUACCGAUAGCACCCGAAACUUUUCCGGUGACCAAAACAUGACUUCCCAUGUAUAAAUCUUUACCUCCGGACCAUUCCGGAACUCCUCAUGAUGUCCGGGAUCUCAUCCGAGACUCCAAACAACAUUCGGUAACCACGUAUAUCUAUUCCCUAUAACCCUAGCGUCAUCGAACCUUAAGUGUGUAGACCCUAUGGGUUCGGGAACCAUGCAGACAUGACCGAGACAACUCUCCGGCCAAUAAGCAACAGCGGGAUCUGGAUACCCAUGUUGGCUCCCACAUGUUCCACGAUGAUCUCAUCAGAUGAACCGCGAUGUCGAGGAUUCAAUCAAUCCCGUAUUCAAUUCCCUUUGUCUAGCGGUAUUGUACUUGCCCGAGAUUCGAUCGUCGGUAUCUGAUACCUUGUUCAAUCUCGUUACUGGCAAGUCUCUUUACUCGUUCCGUAACACAUCAUCCCGUGAUCAACUCCUUGGUCACAUUGCGCAUAUGAUGAUGUCCUACCGAGUGGGCCCAGAGAUACCUCUCCGUCACACGGAGUGACAAAUCCCAGUGUCGAUUCGUGCCAACCCAACAGACACUUUCGGAGAUACCCGUAGUGUACCUUUAUAGCCACCCAGUUACUUGUGACGUUUGGCAACCCAAAGCAUUCCUACGGUAUCCGGGAGUUGCACAAUCUCAUGGUCUAAGGAAAUGAUACUUGACAUUAGAAAAGAUUUAGCAUACGAACUACACGAUCUUUGUGCUAGGCUUAGGAUUGGGUCUUGUCCAUCACAUGAUUCUCCUAAUGAUGUGAUCCCGUUAUCAACGACAUCCAAUGUCCAUGAUCAGGAAACCGUAACCAUCAAUUGAUCAACGAGCUAGUCAACUAGAGGCUUACUAGGGACAUGGUGUUGUCUAUGUAUCCACACAUGUAUCUGAGUUUCCUAUCAAUACAAUUAUAACAUGGUUAAUAAACGAUUAUCAUGAACAAGGAAAUAACCAAUUUAUUAUUGCCUCUAGGGCAUAUUUCCAACAGUCUCCCACUUGCACUAGUGUCAAUAAUCUAGUUCACAUCGCCAUGUGAUUAACAUUCACAGGUCACAUCGCCAUGUGACCAACAUCCAAAGAGUUUACUAGAGUUCAAUAAUCUAGUUCACAUCACUAUGUGAUUAACAGUCAAUGAGUUCUGGGUUUGAUCAUGUUAUUUGUGAGAGAGGUUGUAGUCUACGGGUCUAUCACAUUCAGAUCCGUAUGUACUUUGAAAUCUCUAUGCUAGAUUUGGAGCCAUUUCAAAUAACGGUUCUACCUGGAGCUAUUCUAAAUUGUUGCUCCAUCAUAUGUAUCCGGUAUCUCUACUCAGAGCUAUCCGGAUAGGUGUUAAGCUUGCAUCGAUGUAACUCUUUACGUCGAACUCUUUAUCACCUCCUUAACCGAGAAACAUAUCCUUAUUCCUCUAAGGAUAAUUUUGACCGCUAUCUGGUGAUCUACUCCUAGAUCACCUUUGUACCCUCUUGCCAGACAUGUGGCAAGGCACACAUCAGGUGCGGUACUCAGCAUGGCAUACCGUAUAGAGCCUAUGAAAAAAGCAUAGGGGACGACCUUCGUCCUUCCUCUUUCUUCUGUCGUGGUCGAGCUUUAAGUCUUAACUUCAUACAUAACAACUCAGGCAAGAACUCCUUCUUUGGCUGAUCCAUCUUGAACACUUUCAAGAUCAUGUCAAGGUAUGUGCUCAUUUGAAAGUACCAUUAAGCAUUUUUUAUCUAUCCUUAUAGAUCUUGGUGCUCAAUGUUCAAGUAGCUUAAUCCAGGUUUUCCAUUGAAAAACACCUUUCAAAUAACCCUAUAUGGUUUCCAGAAAUUCUACAUCAUUUCAGAUCAACAAUAUGUCAUCCACAUAUACUUAUCAGAAAUGUUGUAGUGCUCCCACUCACUUUAUUGUAAAUACAAGUUUCUAACAAAACUUUGUAUAAACCCAUAAACUUUGAUUACUCCAUCAAAGUAUAUAUUCCGACUCCAAGAUGCUUGAUCUAGUCCAUGGAAGGAUCGCUGGAGCUAGCAUACUUUUUAGCAUCCUUAGGAUCGACAAAAACUUUCUGAUUGUAUCACAUACAACCUUUCCUUACGAAAACUGGUAAGGAAACUUGUUUUGACAUCCAUCUGCCAGAUUUCAUAAAUGCAGCUUAUGCUAACAUGAUUCCGACGGACUUAAGCAUCGCUACGGGUGAGAAAAUCUCAUCGUAGUCAACUGCUUGAACUUGUGAAAAACUCUUCGCCACAAGUCGAGCUUCAUAGAUGAUGACAUUACAGUCCACGUCCGUCUUCUUCUUAAAAUCCACAUGUACCUAACAGCCUUACGACCAUCAAGUAGUUCUUCCAAAGUCUACACUUUGUUUUCAUACGUGGAUCCUCUCUCGGAUUUUAUGGCCUCGAGCCAAUUUUCGGAAUCCGGGCCCACCAUCGCUUCUCCAUAGCUCAUAGGUUCAUCGUUGUCCAACAACGUGACCUUUAAGACAGGGUUACCACUUAGAAGUUGUACACACUCUUGUCAACCCAUGAGGUUCGAUAGUAACUUGAUCUGAAGCUCCAUGAUCAUCAUUAGCUUUCUCUUCAACUGAGGCAGGUGCCACAGAAACAUUUUUCCUGUGCUGCGCUACUCUCUGGUUGAAGUAAAGGUUCAACAACCUUAACAAGUUCUAUCUUCCUCCCACUCAAUUCUUUCGAGAGAAACUUUUCCUCGAGAAAGGACCCGAUUCGAGAAACAAUCCCUAUUGCUUUCGGAUCUGAGACAGGAGGUAUACCCAACUAUUUUGGGUGUCCUAUGAAGAUGCAUUUAUCCGCUUUGGGUUCGAGCUUAUCAGCCUAAAACUUUUUCACAUAAGCGUCGCAGCCCCAAACUUUUAAGAAAUGACAGCUUAGGUUUCUCUAAACCAUAGUUCAUAUGGUGUCAUCUCAUCGGAAUUACGUGGUUCCCUAUUUAAAGUGAACAUGGUUGUCUCUAAUGCCCAACCCAUAAACUAUCGUGGUAAUUCGAUAAGAGGCAUCAUGGUAUGCAUCAUAUCCAAUAGGGUGCAGUUAUGAUGUUCGGACACACCAUCACACUAUGGUGUUCCAGGCUGUAUUAGUUGUGAAACAAUUUCCACAAUGUCUUAAUUCUGUGCCAAACUCGUAAUUCAGAUAUUCAUCUCUAUGAUCAUAUCAUAGAUAUUUUAUCCUCUUGUUACGACGAUCUUCAACUUCACCCUGAAAUGACUUGAACCUUUCAAUAAUUCAGACUCGUGAUUCAUCAAGUAAAUAUACUCAGCAUCUGCUCAAAUCAUCUGUGAAGUAAGAAUAUAACGAUAUCCACUACAUGCCUCAGCACUCAUUGGACUGCACACAUCAAGAUGUAUUACUUUCAACAAGUUGCUUUCUUGUUCCAUCUUACUGAAAAUGAGGCCUUUCAGUCAUCUUACUCAUGUGGUAUGAUUUGCAUGUCUCAAGUGAUUCAAAAUCAAGCGAGUCCAAAGAUCCAUCAACAUGGAGCUUCUUCAUGCGUUUUAUACCAUUGUGACUAAAAUUGCAGUGCCACAAGUAUGUGGUACUAUCAUUAUUAUCUUAUAUCUUUUGGCAUGAACAUGUGUAUCACUACGAUCGGGAUUCAAUAAACCAUUCAUUUUAGGUGUAAGACCAUUGAAGGUAUUAUUCAAAUAAACAGAGUAACCAUUAUUCUCCUUAAAUGAAUAACCGCAUUGCGAUGAACAUAAUCUAAUCAUGUCCAUGCUCAACGCAAACACCAAAUAACAAUUAUUUAGGUUUAACACCAGCCCCGAUGGUAGAUGGAGCGUGCGAUGUUUGAUCACAUCAACCUUGGAAACUCUUCCAACACCUAUCGUCGUCUCACCUUUGGCUAGUCUCCGUUUAUUCUGUAGCCUUUUAUUUCGAGUUACUAACACUUAGCAACCGAACCGGUAUCUAAUUCCCUGCUGCUACUAGGAGUACUAGUAAAGCACACAUUUAAUAUAUGUCCAAUACAUACUUCUGUCAACCUUGUCAGCCUUCUCAUCUACCAAGUAUCUAGGGUGGUUCUGCUUCAGUGACCGUUCCCCUUAUUACAGAAGCACUUAGUCUCGGGCUUGGGUUCAACUUUGGGUUUCUUCACUAGAGCAGCAACUGAUUUGUUGUUUCAUGAAGUAUCCCUUUCUUGCCCUUGCCCUUCUUGAAACUAGUGGUUUUACUAACCAUCAACAAUUGAUGCUCCCUUUUGAUUUCUACUUUCGCGGUGUCGCGAAUAGCUCAAGGAUCAUAUCUAUCCCUGAUAUGUUAUAGUUCAUCACGAAGCUCCAGUAGCUUGGUGGCAGUGACUUUGGAGAACCAUCACUAUCUCAUCUGGAAGAUUAACUCCCACUCGAUUCAAGCGAUUGUUGUACUCAUACAAUCUGAGCACAUGCUCAACGGUUGAGCUUUUCUCCUUAGUUUGCAGGCUUAAGAAACUUGUCAAAGGUCUCAUACCUCUUGACGUGGGCACUAGCCUGAAAUCCCAAUUUCAGUCCUUGGAACAUCUCAUAUGUUUUGCGAUGUUUCAAAACAUCUUUGGUGCCUCAAUUCUAAACCAUUUAGCAUUACGCACUGAACUAUCAUGUAGUCAUCAAAACGUGUAUGUCAAAUGUUCGCAACAUCCACAACCGACAUUCGCGGGUCAGCUCACUGAGCGGUGCAUUAAGGACAUAAUCCUUCUGCGCAGCAAUGAGGACAAUCCUCUGUUUACGGAUCCAGUCCGCAUAAUUGCUACUAUCAACUUUCAACUAAAUUUUCUCUAGGAACAUAUCUAAAACAGUAGAACUAAAGCGUGAGCUAUGACACAAUUUGCAAAGUCCUUUUGACUAUGUUCAUGAUAAUUGAGUUCAUCUAAUCAAAUUAUUUAAUGAACUCCCACUCAGAUAGACAUCCCUCUAGUCAUCUAAGUGAAACAUGAUCCGAAUCGACCAAGCCGUGUCCGAUCAUCACGUGAGAUGGACUAGUCAUCAUCGGUGAACAUCUACAUGUUGAUCGUAUCUUCUAUACGACUCAUGCUCGACCUUUCAGUCUUCCGUGUUCCGAGGCCAUGUCUGUACAUGCUAGGCUCGUCAAGUCAACCUAAGUGUAUUGCGCGUGUAAAUCUGGCUUACACCCGUUGUAUUCGAACGUUAGAAUCUAUCACACCCGAUAAUCACGUGGUGCUUCGAAACGACGAACCUUCGCAACGGUGCAUAGUUAGGGGGAACACUUUUCUUGAAAUUUUAGUAAGGGAUCAUCUUAUUUAAGCUACCGUCGUUCUAAGCAGAUAAGAUGUAAAACAUGAUAAACAUCACAUGCAAUCAAAUAGUGACAUGAUAUGGCCAAUAUCAUUUUUCUCCUUUUGAUCUCCAUCUUCGGGCCUCCAUGAUCAUCGUUGUCACCGGCAUGACACCAUGAUCUCCAUCAUCAUGAUCUCCAUCAUCGUGUCUUCUUGAAGUUGUCUCGUCAUCUAUUACUUCUACUACUAUGGCUAACGCUUUAGUAAUAAAGUAAAGUAAUUACAUAACGUUUAUGUUGACACGCAGGUCAUAAAUAAAUUAAGACAACUCCUAUGGCUCCUGCCAGUUGUCAUACUCAUCGGCAUGCAAGUCGUGAUUCCUAUUACAAGAACAUGAUCAUCUCAUACAUCACAUAUAUCAUUCAUCACAUCCUUUGGCCACAUCAUAUCACAAAACACUUGCUGCAAAAACAAGUUAUACGUCCCCUAAUUGUUGUUGCAAGUUUUUUUUACGUGGCUGCUAUAGGUUGCUAGCAAGAACGUUUCUUACCUACGCCAAAACCACAACGUGAAUUGCCAAUUUCUAUUUACCAUUCAUAAGGACCCUGUUCAUCGAAUCCGAUCCGACUAAGGUGGGAGAGACAGACAUCCGCCAGCCACCUUAUGCAACUAGUGCAUGUCAGUCGGUGGAACUGGUCUCACGUAAGCAUACGUGUAAGGUUGGUCCGGGCCGCUUCAUCCCACAAUGCCGCCGAAUCAAGAUAAGACUAGUAACGACAAGUAAAUUGACAAAAUCAACGUCCACAACUACUUUGUGUUCUACUCGUGCAUAAAAACUACGCAUAAACCUGGCUCUGAUACCACUGUUGGGGAUCGUAGCAGAAAUUCAAAAUUUUCUACGCAUCACCAAGAUCAAUCUAUGGAUUAAUCUAGCAACGAGGGGAAGGAGAAUGCAUCUACAUAUCCUUGUAGAUUGCUAAGCGGAAGCGUUCAAGUGAACGGAGUUGAUGGAGUCGUACUCGCCGUGAUCCAAAUCACCGAUGAUCCUAGUGCCGAACGGACGGCACCUCCGCGUUCAACACACAUGUAGCCCGGUGACGUCUCCCAUGCCUUGAUCCAACAAGGAGAGAGGGAGAGGUUGGGGAAGACUCUGUCCAGCAGCAGCGCGACGGCGUGGUGGUGGUGGAGGAGCGUGGUAUUCCUGCAGGGCUUCGCCAAGCACCGCAAGAGACGAGGAGGGAGAGGGGUAGGGCUGCGCCAAGAAGGAGAUGUUCUCGUGUGUAUGGCAGCCCAAAACCCCACUAUAUAUAGGGGAAAGGGAGGGGUUGUGCCCUCACCUAGGUUUCCACCCCUAGGGGUGGCGGCCAGCCCUAGAUCCCAUCUAGGGGGGCGGCCAAGGGGGGAGAGAGGGGGGCGCACCACUAGGUGGGCCUUAGGCCCAUCUGAGCCUAGGGUUUCCCCCUUUUCCCUUCUCUCUUUGCCUUGGGCCCUGGUGGGGGGGCGCACCAGCCCACCUGGGACUGGUCCCCUCUCAUACUUGGCCCACGCAGCCUUCUGGGGCAGGUAGCCCCACCUGGUGGACCCCCGGGACCCUCCCGGUGGUCCCGGUACGUUACCGAUAGCACCCGAAACUUUUUGGGUGACCAAAACAGGACUUCCCAUAUAUAAAUCUUUACCUCCGGACCAUUCCGGAACUCCUCAUGAUGUUCGGGAUCUCAUCCGGGACUCCAAACAACAUUCGGUAACCACGUAUAUCUAUUCCCUAUAACCCUAGCGUCAUCGAACCUUAAGUGUGUAGACCCUAUGGGUUCGGGAACCAUGCAGACAUGACCGAGACAACUCUCCGGCCAAUAAGCAACAGCGGGAUCUAGAUACCCAUGUUGGCUCCCACAUGUUCCACGAUGAUCUCAUCGGAUGAACCGCGAUGUCGAGGAUUCAAUCAAUCACGUAUUCAAUUCCCUUUGUCUAGCGGUAUUGUACUUGCCCGAGAUUCGAUCGUCGGUAUCUGAUACCUUGUUCAAUCUCGUUACUGGCAAGUCUCUUUACUCGUUCCGUAACACAUCAUCCCGUGAUCAACUCCUUGGUCACAUUGCGCAUAUGAUGAUGUCCUACCGAGUGGGCCCAGAGAUACCUCUCCGUCACACGGAGUGACAAAUCCCAGUCUCGAUUCGUGCCAACCCAACAGACACUUUUGGAGAUACCCGUAGUGUACCUUUAUAGCCACCCAGUUACGUUGUGACGUUUGGCACACCCAAAGCAUUCCUACGGUAUCCGGGAGUUGCACAAUCUCAUGGUCUAAGGAAAUGAUACUUGACAUUAGAAAAGAUUUAGCAUACGAACUACACAAUCUUUGUGCUAGGCUUAGGAUUGGGUCUUGUCCAUCACAUGAUUCUCCUAAUGAUGUGAUCCCGUUAUCAACAACAUCCAAUGUCCAUGAUCAGGAAACCGUAACCAUCAAUUGAUCAACGAGCUAGUCAACUAGAGGCUUACUAGGGACAUGGUGUUGUCUAUGUAUCCACACAUGUAUAUGAGUUUCCUAUCAAUACAAUUAUAACAUGGUUAAUAAACGAUUAUCAUGAACAAGGAAAUAACCAAUUUAUUAUUGCCUCUAGGGCAUAUUUCCAACAAUGUCAGCGCCACAUAUCUUGCCUCCAACCCCGUCCAACAUCAACGGACAAAGCAUAUUGAGAUUGAUCUCCAUUUUGUCCGGGACUGUGUGGCUCUUGGUGAAGCUCGUGUCCUGCAUGUGCCAUCGAGUUCAUAGUUUGCUGAUUUAUUCACCAAAGGUUUACCUUCUCAAGUGUUUCAUGAGUUCCGUGCCAGCCUGAACGUCCUACCUCACGGAGUUCCAGCUGAGGGGGGGUGUUAAACAUGUAUCUGUGUAAAUUGUAACGUUGAGUAGUGUAAACUUAGUCCACUCCUAGAUUAUAGGAUCUAGCAAGGCUCGUGGCCUGCAUGCCACAUUUUCAGGAGCUCUUGCUCUCUCCCUGAGGGGAUAUAUGUAUCUCUGUAACUCGAUGGUUCAGUCAAUAUACAGAAAAUCAUCUCUCCAACUAUAUAGACCACGUUACUCUUCAUAUUGCGAUUUCAUUUACACGAACUACAUGCCAAACCACUUGAGUAGACACAUCAACCUCUUCUACUGGCAUUUUUUUUGUCUAAGGAACGCCAUCAUUGCUAGCUUUGUUUCAUUACGAAUAUAGAUACAUCAGUGCUAGGCAUACAAGCCUGGAAUGUCAAUCCACACAACUGGAGUAUUAACCCUCGCCCUACUAGCUAGCUUAUGGGGCACCGCUUCAUUUCACGCGCACAAUGCUCGACGGUAAAAUGACCUAAAUUAUUACAAAUAUUGAAGCAAUCAUCGAGAAUAGGGGGCACCAUAGAAUUACCGGUCAUUCGUUGCAUUUAUUCCAUAGAUGCAGUUGUGUGGGCAUCCAAUUUCAGUUGUGCGAGCCUCCAUUUCUUCGCUGCACAAUGCCAUUGCUUCAACUGUGUGGGUAUCCAUAGUUAUUCCCAUAUAUCUAUUACUUGAAGCAAUCGAAUCACCAAUCUAGUCUCUCAUAAUAGCACCACAUGACACUGUAUUACCUUUGCACUCAAACGAGGUGUCCACAUUUUAUUCGACUGUGCCAUGUGGCAGCUUUGCCCACAUCAAGCUCUUUGUUGUGUGGCCAACAACAAAGACCUCAACUUUAGAAAACCCUCAACCAUGUAUACUCAAUUUUCCCAAUAUCUCAGAUGACUAAAAGCAAACAUUGGAUUGUUGCAUUUGUCACAACCAUUAAAGGUUGUAUAUAAUUUUCUUCUCCUUCUGAAAUACGCAUGGGCAUGCAUAUCAUAUGUAUUGAAGAAGAAGGUAAGACACCUAUAACAGCGCCGAGAAACGCAAAAUCCUCUGGAUACAAACACGUGCACAACUGCUCAUGAGCUAGCCACCCAUCUCCUCUUUGCCUCCCCCGCCGCACACACGAGUCGCCCUCUUUGCCUCCCCCGCCGCAUCGCCGACCUUCCCUCUCCUCCACUGGCCUAGUCAGCAUCGUGUAUGUGUGCAUGUGUGUGGGGGGAGGGGGUGUUGCAGAUCUGGCAGUAGGGUAGUCGCGGUAGUAGGUUGCCAUUCUCCCUAGUAGCUCGCGUCGCUUAGUCAUCCGACGUUGUGGCCAUAAUUGCGGUGGUAGCGGUGCUCGGGUUUAAACAUCAUACAUGUCCAUCUUCGUUAUUGUUGAUCCUCUUCAUGUGGUCGACGACACAUCUGCGAAGUAGUUGUCAUGUUCUGGCGGGAUGGUGAGACAACGGCGACAUCCCAUAGUCAUAAUAAUGUCCUUCCCGGCCGCCCCAGUUUCGGUGGAUCUGCAUGGAUCCGAUCAGUGUUAGUCUCCAAUGGAUCCAUUUGGAUUCGGCAGACACUCGUCACCUUUGUUGUGUGUGUGUGUGUGGAGGUAUGGUCCUUCCUCGACAUUUUUCUUCGUCCGCGACAACUGCUCUUCUGGCGCGCUAGCUGUUUGAGACCUUAGCACGAGAACUGCCUAACUUUCAAGUCUCAAUUUUCCCCUCUUCGGGGAGGAAGAGAUGAAGGCGACCGUGCACCUUCAAUCUGAGGGAGUAGAUAUUAAUUUUAAUCGAUUAGGAUAGUCUGAAGUAUUUAACAUGCACUGGAAGACGGAGUAAAGAAACGAUACACUAUGAUUGAGCGGCCUAAAAAAAUCUUGAAAUUGUGCUUUAGUAGGAUAUGGCCGGAUAAAACAAAAAGUAGGAGUAAUUGUUUGAUAGCGAGACAUGUUGAUGUUAAUGGUGAAGUUUUGGUUGGAGCCAACAAAUUAUUGCCUGUCUUAAUCGAUCUUAGGUAUACUAAGUAUUGUUCCCUCCAUUCAUAAUUAUAAGACGUCUAGCAUUUUUUUGGAUCGAAUAAAUAUAGACACAUUUUAGUGUGUCUGUUCACUAACUUUAGUUCGUAUGCGGCCUAUAUGAAAAUAUCCAAAAUAUACUACCUCCCUCUCAUAAUAUAAGAUUAUUUUUGACACUAGUAUAGUGUCAAAAACACUAUAAUGUUAUAGGACCGAGAGAGUAUUAUAAUUCGAAAUGAAGGUAGUACUAUCAAUGUUGCGGCGGCUCAGAAACCACUUUCUUUUUUGACCCGCAUUGCCUCCAGCUUCAUGACUCUUUCCAAAACUUAAGUAUGACUUGUUCAUCACCACGUCGACUAUUCCCAUUCUUAUGCGUUUCGUGUUUUGACGUCCGUAGGUUUUGACCCAAGCACGAGAAUCUGUCAGAAACGAAACAUCGUGCCGGGAUGAGAGAUGACCAAAAAUUCCUAGUGCAUGCUUAGCAUGCAUUGCCCUAGUAGCACCUACAAAGAAAUUGCCACUGGGGAAGAUUAGAAACACUGCAUGCACUGCCAUCUUUUCGGAAGGAAAAAAAAAACGCUGCACCAUCAGCCCUUGGGAAUGUGGUGGUUGCCGCCUCCGCCGAGCGGAGCACCCACACAUGCGCUGCCGGCCGCCGCGCGCAAACGGACACGUGAGCUCACUCCGCCCCCUCCGCCGAGCCGGAUCCGAAUAAAAUUCCGCCACUAUAGCCGAACAUGCUGCUUUGCUUGCUGUUGAGAGCGGCCGACCUCGACGCAAAGGUAGUAGUGGCAGUGGCAAUGAUGGGAAGCCGGCCCUAUUAUGGCGCCCACGCCCUUCUCUGCAGCGAGCUGCCAACACAUGCGAAUUCAAGGCUAAAUAAUGCGACAUGUGGUGCCACAUGAGCGCUUCCCUCUCUUCUGUUACAUGCAUUACGAGUACAUGUGCACGUAUCUUGCUCUGUAUUCUACAUGUCCCCCCUCUCGGUGUUAGUAAGUUCGAAUUUGUCAGUGUAACAAGGCAUUACACAUACUUAAUGUUACGUUGAUGAAAUGUUCCGGAUCCUACCAUGUGCAGCUCGUUUGGCGGUGUUGUGUACGAAUGGUGGAAACAUGGUGGACUAUGAACAAGGCGUAGUAUUUUUUUUAUACUACAAUAGCAUGCAAUUUCUGAGCUGACUCGCCGCCAGCCCUGCCAUAUGUAUCGUGUGUCCCCCGGUGUGAUUCCUCCCUGUGUAUUAUACUCCGUUCAUACCAUGAAGAUCUGCAUUGUAGGCUUGUAGUAACACACUAUGUAUUCAGUGGAAUCAUGUGAGGGGGGACAAGGGUGGGCGAUCACUCAUUGAUCGGGUCAGGAAGAGUUCGGUGGGCACGGCGGGGCCCCGUGUAAUGGAGGGAGCGGUCUCACGUAGAGCGGGACGCCCACACGUGGCAGGCCAGACACAGCCCACGAUGAACCAGGACGCGCCACACCUCAUGCACGCCAGCUCCUUUUGCUUUGGCCAGCAGCCGGGCGGCGCAGCCCGGCAAGCGGCGACGUGGCCGCACAACACAACCGAGCUGGGGCUGGGCGGGUGCGCGCGCACGCGUGGCGGCCAGCGACAUGAGGCAGCGCACCAACGGAGCUCGCGCGGCGGCGGCGGCGGCGGCACCGACACCACGCCGACCCGCGCACCAACUGCAGUGUACAGACGCACGAGUGGGGCGCGGCCGGCGGCCGGGUCGCCCGUGCAUGCACCGGCGCGUCCGUCUGGUAUUUCCUCACAAUCACGUCGCCCCGCCUGCCGCGCCGCCUGUGAUCGAAGAGAAGUACUCUCUCCGUUUUGAAUUAUUUAUCGCAAGUAUGGAUGUAUCUAGAAGUAUUUUUGUUUUAAAUACAUUCAUUUCUGCGACGAGUAAUUUGAAACGAAGGGAAUACAUGAUGAUUGGCGAUGAUGCACCGCCGCCAAAGUGACAGCCUCACCGGAACGAUGCGUGCCGGUCUACGUACCUACUACUUGGUCCAAUUAAUCAGGCCACUCGCCUUCUUUCCAGGGCCGUAAGCCCGGACACGAGUUAAGCGCUAAUGAUACGAUAUGAUCCUUUUCCGGGAGCUCGAUGUCCUUGGUGUUCCUUUUCUUCGGAGUUGAUUAGGUUAGGCGUACGAGUACGACCGCCGGUAAACCGGGGUCACAUCCGACCAUCACUUGCCCGUGCAAAAAGCUUGAGAUCCGUCGAGACGAUCAUAGACGUACGCGCGUCAGAUCAUCAUCGUUGCAGCGCUUCAUGUCACGACAUCUUCCAGAGCAGAGCAGCACAAGCUCUCGCCUUAUCUACAUCGGCAUGGACGGACGGACGCACCGUCAGUUGAGUUCUGUCUGUGCACGCGUGGCUUGAUCACGCUGGUCUCUCUCCCUCUCCGUCUGACCUUUUCUUUUCUCAAGACGCGAAGCAGACCCACUUGAAAAGGGGUCAAAGCUCAUACACAAGUCUGAAAUUUGCAAAAAGAAUCGCAUAAUAUAUGGAUGGGUAUGGAUUUCUGGGUGGUCGGUAUUUCACAUCUGGACCUUUUCUCGUCUUUUCGCCGGAUUUGAACAACUACGCGCAGAACCUGGUUGAGGACGCGCAUUACGAUUUCGACUUCAGAACUGCCCCACGACCACGAAUACUUCUCUUUCGUGUACGUACUGCUAGUAGUUGAUUAAACUUUGAAGACAUGCACAUGACUUUAUCUAGGCCAAGAAAAUGCUAGUAGAAUACAAGAUAGGUAUCAGAUUACAUGUAUAUAAUUGGCAACUUGCAUUUAUAUAUUUAUUGACCAAUUCCUGCACUGUUCUUGUUUGUUUCCUCUCGUUUUGGAUUGGAACCGAUGAUGCAAACACGCUAUCAUUUUAAUUAUACUAUAUAUCUGAAACAAAUGUGUUCCACCAUGCCGACGCUGUAGGCCGAGUAUAUUUCAUAAGUACUAGUACUAUAUAGUUAGCGUACAAAACCGAAAGCAUCCAUAGUAUCAGUACUAUAAUAGCAGGAUCUGAUACUGUAGGCCGAGUACAGUUUUCAAAUGGCACUUGUACGCAAUUUAGAAAUCACAGGCCGGGACUGUUCCUGCACUGCGCUGUUCCAAACCUUUGUCAUAUCUACGAAGAGCCAGACAGCUUCUGACAUGUCGCGCCGCCGAUAUUUGAAUCUGCUCGCUAGACGUCCACUUGUUUCAAAAACAAAAUAGAAUCAACAGACGCCCGUCCAAGCUGCAAUUCAGAACUGGUUCGCCAGUUCCAGUUGUUCUUAUGUCCCACAGGCGUUACAUUCACUGGCAGAUAAGGGAAUACGUACCACUAGCACUGACGCGGCUGUUUGAUAGUAGAGUACCUCUAGGGAAACGGACGCAGAUAAAUUUGAAUCAAAUCAGUGAAAGAUCCGACCGUGUCACGCCCCUGAUCUCACCUUCUCUUGGUUUUGCCGGCUGGGAUCUCUGAGCUGUCGUCGAUGUGGAUGCCCCUCGGUAGACCUACAGAUGGAGCUGUCAUUUCAGCUUAUGAAAAAGAUGUCUGUACACAAUCCUCGGGAGAGCGCGUAUCGUUUGGCCUUUGGCCGCGACACUCUGAACCGGAGCCAAUUCGGCCGCGUCGGAUAGGUCUCCGCGGUGGUUGCGGUGACACGAUGUUUUCUUGGGACGGGAUGGCGAUCUUGUUCUGGAAUGCGAUGUCCGUCCUUGUAGAUGAGCUUGCUCGUGUGCAGGAUUCAGUCGUGGUCCUGCGUGCGGGCAAUUCCUUUUCCAUUGGUGCCGUGAUCGGGCUCAAUUAUUGGGAAGGAUUUGUUGUUGUCGGUGUCAGGAUUAAUUGAGGACAAGUAGAGGUCUUAUCCGUUGUGAUGGUCGGAUAUUAGAUGGCACGUAUGAGUAUCGGAGUAUGGGUGUCAGUGGUCGGCUUGCCACCAUGCAUCAUUUCUGAUCCACUGUUCUUUACCUGGGCAACUAUAUGUACUCUUUUUGUUAUCUCUCAUAUGUUAGGCCAACUUCAACGCGCGACCUCAAACGGACGUUUAAUUCAUCCGCUUUUCGUCCGUUUGGGAAACGGACACGGUCGUCCAUUUGUGGUUGUGCAACUAUCGGUGUGCCCAACGGGUAGGCCGGUCCUCUCGUGGCUCCUGCUUGUGCUCUGGUGACCGCGACGACGGGGCUGACCAUGGGCCGACACCCACUGAGUCAGCCAUCUCCGGUGCCGUGCAUGACCAGCUUCAUCGCUGGCUCACCAGACGAGGGUUCCACGCGGCGAUGGGCACCUCCUCCACCACCUCCUCCGGCACCUCCUCCGGCACCUCCUCCUUGACGUCGACGUCCAUCUCCGGGAUGGCCAUGUCGCCGGCCGCUGACAGGGCCAGAGCCAAGCCUCCUCCUCCACGGUCAUAGGCGGUGGCAGGGACGGGGACAGAGAAGGCGUCGGCGUGAUGCCGCGCACACGCCUACGGCCUCGCGUUUGGGGAGGGCUGUCAUCAACACGAGGAGGACGCGGGCGGUGCAGGCCAGGAGGACGACUGACAAAAAAAGAUUGCCGUUGUUGGUCGUGCUAGUCGCGGAGCCACGCAUCCCAUAGCAGUGAAUCUAUGGUGUACCUGGAGUCCGCCAGUAGAUCCGGUGGGAGGCGGGCGCGCCGUCGGUUGAUCUCCUUGCGACAGGCGCGUCUGCUCGCGGGCACUGGAGGGAUCAUCACGUGGUCGACGAAGAGAUUCCAGUUGUUUGGCAGGUGGAGAUCUCAUCACGGUAACGAUGGCAUACGCCGACUAGGAUGUAGGGUUGUCGCGAUGCCCGGCCGCCGGCGACGCCAUCUGGAAAGCUGGUGGAGCAGGUGGCGGAGAAGGCGGUGCAGAUCUGCUCGAGCGGCGUCGGCGAGAGGAGGGGCCGGCCUCUUGGUCGUGCUUCCCCUUGAUCCAGUGCCAGCCCAUGGCGCCGGCGGGGAGGUUGGCGAGCGGGGUACGAUGGCGGGGAGGUGGCUAGGGUUUGCUCGUGUCGACAAUAGAGGAGGCAGGCCGACUUGGAAGUGGAAGCUGUGGAGUGACCGGUCCACGACUUCCACAUUCAGAAGGACGGCGGACCUACGCCCGUGUCAAUGACAGCCGGGUCCCGCCGUGCAUGCGCAUUCCAUUUGGGCGGUGGAGGCAGGUGGACGGCCGCCACGCGUCCCCUAGGCGGGCGCGGAGCAAGCAUGUGCCCGUCCGUUCGACGUCCGUGCGGAUGCAAACCGAACAUAUGUUUACGUUGAAAAUGGGGUGGGCCGGACGUCAAACGGAUAAAAUUUAAGUAUGUGGACGUGUGUUGGGCCGUGUUUUUUGUCCGUUUGGUUCAAACGGAUGUACGUGGAUAAAAUGAUGUCGCGCUUUGGAGUUGUUCUUAAAUGUUACUACCAUAUUCCUGCAUUUUCUAUCGAAAAUAACAGAAUGUUUCCCGUUCUCCAAACAAGGAUAGGAGGAGUGGCAGAUAGUGGCAUGGUGGGGAAAUUAUAUCGACGGCAAAUCCCGCCCUGUUGCUCACCAAAGACGUACUUUCGCCGUAAAUUAAUAUAAGAUGAACACUUGAGGAAGUUGACCGACACACUAAAGGCUUCUUUGAUUCGUAGGAUUUUGAAAACAUAGGAAUAGAAAAAGUGUAGGGUUGGAGUGGCAUGCCCAUUUGAAUCCUAUAGAAUUAGCAAUGAUUGUUUGAUGCCACGAGAAAAACAAAGGAAUUGUAAAAGGAGGUUUGAGUGGAUGUUAAAUUUCCUAUGAAAUGUAGUACAGAAGAUUACAUAGGAAAAAUUCCUAUGGGAUCCAAUCCUAUGAAUCAAAGGACCAACAUAGAAAAAAAUCCUAAGGAUUUCAAUCCUCCAGAAAUCCUAUAAAAUUCCUUUGAAUCAAAGAAGCCCUAACAUAUUUGCAUGACUUCCAUGCUGAAUUAAUCAAUCUCCAACACGCGGAAUCGCAUCAAAGUUUGAACCAUGGAUGACGAACAGUGCGCGUGACAGCAUUAGCACGCGAAUAGAGUACAAUCUUUAUCUAUCUCUAUUCUAUACAAAUAAAAAGGAAAAAAAAUAGGCGAGCAGAUUCGUGACGUACGCUUGUUGUUAGGGAAGGAAGGAACACCUCUGCUUCGCCUCCCUCUCUCGGCUGUUGCGCAGUCAGUAGUAGCUCGGAGAUGCCCGUGUCAUGAAAACGACAGCGGAAAGCUCAUCGCCGGCGACCCAAUCACCCAACGCAAGUGACACGUCCGUCUCUCCGCAGUCUGCAUUCACCAUGCGUUUUCCUUUUUCUAAAAAACGCAAAAGUUUUUCCUUUUCCAGCUAGAACGAAGAUGGUCUCUCACUCGGAUGAAUCCAUCAGUCGGCGCGUUGGGCUUUUCCGGUGGUGUUUCUUUCCUGGGCGAUACUCGUGGCGAUGGUGAUAGUCUCCAUCCACCUCUGUUAGGAUCUGAGCCAGUUAAAUCGUGUCGCGCAAAGCAUGGAUGCUACUUGUAUUUUGCAUUGACAAAAUUGCGCGAAAAGUGGCCGAUAUAUACAUCCCAUCUGUCUUGUUGUAUCUUUCAACAUUUGUCAGGUCGUGUAUCACUCAAGCUGGCUGCAGCUCUACCCAGUUCCCUUUCAUUUUUCUUUUUGAUUUUUUUAAUUCGAGUUACAUAGCUUACGUACGGUUGGUAGAUGACAGAGGAUCCUAUUGUCGGCCGGAUGCAUGCAUGCAUGCUUCUGAUUAGAUGUAAGUUUAGUGAGACGUGUGGUACGAAGUCUACUGUUUUCCAGGCUAUCUAUUCCCAGGUUCUCAUCACCGGGUACCAUGCUAGAGACAAAUCUCAUCACCGGGUACCAUGCUAGAGACUGAGACGGCGACGGAUAGUGUGACUGUAUCAGACAACAACUCUGAAACCAACUGAAUAAUGCUUUUCGUAUGGCUCGAUGGAGCUAUAUAGGAGUAGUGAGUAGCUUAGGUUACUUCCAAAAUCUUUGGUCAAACACUAAAGAUUCGCGAGGAAUUUCGGUAAUUCCCACAGAACAGAUGUGAAAUGCUGAAGUGAAAUGGAACUCUGGUAAUCCAUAAGUAUAGAGGAUCAAUUGUAGCCUCUUUCAGUAAGUAAGAGUGUCGACCCAACGAGAAGCUAAAUAUAGAACAAAUAUUUCCUCAAGUUAUAUCGACCACCGAUACAAAUUUACGCACGCUUAACGUUCGCUUUACCUAGAAUAAGUAUAAAAGUAGAAGUAUUUUCUAGGUGUAACGAGAUAGGUUCGUAAGAACAUAGAGAGUAAGCAAAUAAAAACUAGGGGCUGUUUUAGGUAAAAAAACAAUAAAGUUAGUAUAGCGAGUGUGGAAAAGUGGUGGUAGGAGUUGCGAAAUUGUCCCUAAGCAAUUGAUUACUUUACUAGACCGAUAGCAAGUUUUAUGUGGGAGAGGCCACUGCUAGCAUGUUAUCCAGGACUUGGAAUCCUAUGCACUUAUGAUUGGAACUAUUAGCAAGCAUCCGCAACUACUAACGUUCAUAAAGGUAAACCCAACCAUAGCGUUAAGAUAUAUUGGUCCCCCUUCAAUCCCGUAUGCAUCAAUUUCUAUGCUAGGUUGAAGCUUAUGUCACUCUUGCCCUUCAAUACAUAGUCCUAUCAACAUACAACUAACCCUAUAUUGUGAUCCACACGCGCGCUCAUAUGAUGGGCACCAAAGGACAGCAAUAUAACCACAAUCAAAUUAAACCAAUCAUAGCAAUUCACCAAUCACCGAUAGGACAACGAAAAUUUACUCAAACAUCAUAGGAUGACAACACAUCAUUGGAUAAUAAUAUGAAGCAUAAAGCACCAUGUUCAAGUAGAGGGUACAGCGGGUUGCGGGAGAGUGGACCGCUAUAAAUAGAUGGGGGAAGGUGAUGAAGACGUUGAUGAAGAUGACGGAGGUGUUGGUGUAGAUCGCCGUCACACGAUGAUGGCGCCGGCGGCGUUCCGGCGCCACCGGGAGAGAGGGGGAGAGAGCCCCCCUUCUCCUUCUUCUUCCUUGACCUUCUCUCCAGAUGGGAGAAGGGUUUCCCCUCUGGUCCAGAGCCUCCAUGGCGGCGGAGGGGCGAGAUCCCCUUCGAGAUUGGAUAUGUUUAUCUGUCUCUCUUUGUUUCUACCUUCCAGAUUCUGCCCCUUCACCGUUUUUUAAAUUUCCGGAUAUCCGUAACUUGAUACGUCCAUUUUGCAUCAUGCUUUUAUUGUUGGGGAACGUAGCAGAAAUUCAAAAAUUUUCCUACGUAACACCAAGAUCUAUCUAUGGAGAGACCAGCAACGAGUAGAAAGGAGAGUGCAUCUCAAUACCCUUGUAGAUCGCUAAGCGGAAGCGUUCAAGUGAACGGGGUUGAUGGAGUCGUACUCGUCGUGAUUCAGAUCACCGAUGAUCCUAGUGCCGAACGGACGGCACCUCCGCGUUCAACACACGUACAGCUCGACGAUGUCUCCCACGCCUUGAUCCAGCAAGGAGAGAGGGAGAGGUUGAGGAAGACUCCAUCCAGCAGCAGCACAACGGCGUGGUGGUGAUGGAGGAGCGUGGCAAUCCUGCAGGGCUUCGCCAAGCACCACGGGAGAGGAGGACGACUUGGGAGAGGGGGAGGGCUGCGCCAGAACUUCGUGUAAAGCUCCCAUGCGUCUCCCCACUAUAUAUAGGGGUGGAGGGGCUGGUUUCUUGCCCUCCAAGUCCAUUGGGGCAUUGGCCAAGGUGGGAGGAAAGAAAUCCCAUCAUUUCCUUCCCCACCGAUUGUUAUCCCCCCUUUUUAGGGAUCUUGAUCUUAUCCCUUCGGGAUAUGAUCUUAUUCCUUCUAAGGGGGAAUCUUGGUGCGCCUUGACCAAGGGUGUGGGGCCUUGCCCCCACUACCCACGUCCAUGUGGGUCCCCCCAUGCAGGUGGGCCCCACUCCGGAACCUUCUAGAACCUUCCCGGUACAAUACCGAAAAAUCCCGAACAUUUUCCGGUGGCCAAAAUAGGACUUCCCAUAUAUAAAUCUUUACCUCCAGACCAUUCCGGAACUCCUCGUGACGUCCGGGAUCUCAUCCGGGACUCCGAACAACAUUCGGUAACCACAUACAAACUUCCUUUAUAACCCUAGCGUCAUCGAACCUUAAGUGUGUAGACCCUACGGGUUCGGGAGACAUGUAGACAUGACCGAGACGUUAUCCGGUCAAUAACCAACAGUGGGAUCUGGAUACCCAUGAUGGCUCCCACAUGUUCCACGAUGAUCUCAUCGGAUGAACCACGAUGUCAAGGACUUAAUCAAUCCCGUAUUCAAUUCCCUUUGUCUAUCGGUAUGUUACUUGCCCGAGAUUCGAUCGUCGGUAUCCAAUACCUUGUUCAAUCUCGUUACCGGCAAGUCACUUUACUCGUUCCGUAACACAUCAUCCCGUGAUCAACUCCUUGGUCACAUUGCGCAUAUGAUGAUGUCCUACCGAGUGGGCCCAGAGAUACCUCUCCGUUUACACGGAGUGACAAAUCCCAGUCUCGAUCCGCAUAAAACAAUAGAUACUUUCGGAGAUACCUGUAGUGCACCUUUAUAGUCACCCAGUUACGUUGUGACGUUUGAUACACCCAAAGCACUCCUACGGUAUCCAGGAGUUACACGCUCUCAUGGUCGAAGGAAGAGAUACUUGACAUUGGCAAAGCUCUAGCAAAUGAACUACACGAUCUUUUGUGCUAGGCUUAGGAUUGGGUCUUGUCCAUCACACGAUUCUCCUAAUGAUGUGAUCCCGUUAUCAACGACAUCCAAUGUCCAUAGCCAGGAAACAAUGACUAUCUGUUGAUCACAACGAGCUAGUCAACUAGAGGCUCACUAGGGACAUAUUGUGGUCUAUGUAGUCACACGUGUAUUACGAUUUCCGGAUAAUACAGUUAUAGCAUGAAUAAAACACAAUUAUCAUGAACAAGGAAAUAUAAUAAUAAUACUUUUAUUAUUGCCUCUAGGGCAUAUUUCCAACAAUCUCCCACUUGCACUAGAGUCAAUAAUCUAGUUCACAUCGAUAUGUGAUUAACACUCAAGGUCACAUCCCCAUGUGACUAACACCCAAAGAGUUUACUAGAGUCAAUAAUCUAGUUCACAUUUACCAUGUGAUUAACACUCGAUGAGUUCUGGGUUUGAUCAUGUUAUGCUUGUGAGAGAGGUUAUAGUCAACGGGUCUGAACCUUUCAGAUCCGUGUGUGCUUUACAAAUCUCUAUGUCAUCUCCUAGAUGCAGCUACCACGUUCUAUUUGGAGCUAUUCCAAAUAACUGUUCUACUUGGAGCUAUUCUAAAUUGUUGCUCCAUUAUACGUAUCCGGUAUCUCUACUCAGAGCUAUCCGGAUAGGUGUUAAGCUUGCAUCGACAUAACCCUUUACGACGAACUCUUUUACCACCUCCAUAAUUGAGAAAAUUCCUUAGUCCACUAGUUACUAAGGAUAACUUUGACCGCUGUCCUGUGAUCCAUUCUUGGAUCACUCUUGUACCCCUUGACUGACUCAUGGUAAAGCACACUUCAGGUGCGGUACACAGCAUAGCAUACUGUAGAGCCUAUGUCUUAAGCAUAGGGGACGACCUUCGUUCCUUUCUCUCUAUUCUGCCAUGGUCGAGGUUUAAGUCUUAACUUCAUACCUUACAACUCAGGCAAGAACUCCUUCUUUGACUGAUCCAUCUUGAACACCUUCAAGAUCACGUCAAGGCAUGUGCUCAUUUGAAAGUACUAUUAAGCGUUUUGAUCUAUCCUUAUAGAUCUUGAUGCUCAAUGUUCAAGUAGCUUAAUCCAGGUUUUCCAUUGAAAACACUUUCCAAAUAACCCUAUAUGCUUUCCAGAAAUUCUACGUCAUUUCUGAUCAUUAAUAUGUCAACAACAUAUACUCAUCAGAAAUUCUAUAGUGCUCCCACUCACUUCUUUGGAAAUACAAGUUUCUCAUAAACUUUGUAUACACCCAAAAUCUUUGAUCAUCAUCAAAGCAUACAUUCCAACUCCGAGAUGCUCACUCCAGUCCUCAGAAGGAUUGCUGGAGCUUUGCAUACUUAUUAGCAUAUUUCAGGAUAGACCAAACCUUCCGGUUGUAUCACAUACAACCUUUCCUCAAGAAUCGUCGAGGAAACAAUGUUUUGACAUCCUAUCUGCAAGAUUUCAUAAAUAAUGCAGUAAUUGCUAAUAUAAUUCCAACAGACUCUUAGCAUCGCUACGAGUGAGAAAGUCUCAUCGUAGUCAACUCCUUGAACUUGUCGAAAAACAUCUUAACGACAAGUCGAGCUUUCUCAAUGGUGACACUUACCAUCAUUGUCUGUCUUCCUUUCAAAAUCCAUAUGUACCUAACAGCCUUACGACCAUCAAGUAGUUCUUCCAAAGUCUACACUUUGUUUUCAUACAUGGAUCCUCUCUCGGAUUUUAUGGCCUUGAGCCAUUUAUCGGAAUCCGGGCCCACCAUCGCUUCUCCAUAGCUUGUAGGUUCAUUGUUGUCUAGCAACAUGACUUCCAAGACAGGAUUACGUACCACUCUGAAGUAGUACGCAUCCUUGUCAUCCCACGAGGUUUGGUAGUGACUCGAUCCGAAGUUUCAUGAUCACUAUCAUAAGCUUCCACUUCAGUUGGUGUACGUGCCACAGGAACAACUUCCUGUGCUCUGCUACACACUUGUUGAAGUGACGGUUCAAUAACCUCAUCAAGUCUCCACCAUCCUCCCACUCAAUUCUUUCGAGAGAAACUUUUCCUCGAGAAAGGACCCGAUUAAAGAAAAACAAUCCAUAUUGCUUUCGGAUCUGAAUUAGGAGGUAUACCCAACUGUUUUGGGUGUCCUAUGAAGAUACAUUUUAUCCGCUUUGGGUUCGAGCUUAAUCCUGAAACUUUUUCACAUAAGCGUCGCAGCCCCAAACCUUUAAGAAACGACAACUUAGGUUUCUCUAAACCAUAAUUCAUACGGUGUCAUCUCAUCGGAAUUACAUGGUGCCCUAUUUAAAGUGAAUGUGGUUGUCUCUAAUGCCUAACCCAUGAACAAUAGUGGUAAUUCGAUAAGAGACAUCAUGGUACGCACCAUAUCCAAUAGGGUGCAACUAUGACGUUUGGACACACCAUCACACUAUGGUGUUCCAGGCUGUAUCAGUUGUGAAACAAUUUCCACAAUGUCUUAAUUCUGUGUCAAACUCGUGAUUCAGAUAUUCAUCUCUAUGAUCAUAUCAUAGAUCUUUUAUCCUCUUGUCACAACGAUCUUUCAACUUCACGCUGAAAUUACUUGAACCUUUCAAUAAUUCAGACUCGUGAUUCAUCAAGUAAAUAUACUCAACAUCUACUCGAAUCAUCUGUGAAGUAAGAACAUAACGAUGUUCACUGCAUGCCUCAGCACUCAUUGGACUGCACACAUCAAAAUGUGUUACUUCCAACAAGUUGCUAUCUUGUUCCAUCUUACUGAAAACGAGGCUUUUCAGUCAUCUUGCCCAUGUGGUAUGAUUUGCAUGUCCCAAGUGAUUCAAAAUCAAGUGAGUCAAAACGGUCCAUUUGCAUGGAGUUUCUUCAUGCAUAUACACCAAUAGACAUGGUUCGCAUGUCUCAAACUUUUCAAAACGAGUGAGUCCAAAGAUCCAUCAACAUGGAGCUUCUUCAUGCGUUUUAUACCAUUAUGACUUACAUGGCAGUGCCACAAGUAAGUGGUACUAUCAUUACUAUCUUAUAUCUUUUGGCAUGAAAAUGUGUAUCCCUACGAUCAAAAUUCAAUAAACCAUUCCUUUAGGUGCAAGAGCACUUAUUCAGGUUUAAUACUAAUCUUGAUGGUAGAGGGAGCGUGCGAUGUUAGAUCACAUCAAACUUGGAAACACUUCCAACACGUAUCGUCAGCUCACCUUUAGCUAGUCUCCGUUUUAUUCCGUAGCUUUUACUUCGAGUUACUAAAACUUAGCAACCGAACCGGUAUCUAAUACCCCGGUGCUACUAGGAGUACUAGUAAAGUACACAUUAACACAAUGUAUAUCCAAUAUACUUCUAUCGACCUUGCCAGCCUUCUCAUCUACCAAGUAUCUAGGGUAAUUCUGCUCCAGUGGCUGUUCCCCUUAUUACAGAAGCACUCAGUCUCGGGUUUGGGUUCAACCUUGGGUUUCUUCACUAGAGCAGCAGCUGAUUUGCCGUUUCAUGAAGUAUCCCUUCUUGCCCUUGCCCUUCUUGAAACUAGCGGUUUCACCAACCAUCAACAAUUGAUGCUCCUUCUUGAUUUCUACUUUCGCGGUGUCAAACAUCGCGAAUACCUCAAGGAUCAUCAUAUCUAUCCCUGAUAUGUUAUAGUUCAUCACGAAGCUCUAACAGCUUGGUGGCAAUGACUUUGGAGAACCAUCACUGUCUUAUCUGGAAGAUCAACUCCCACUCGAUUCAAAUGAUUGUUGUACUCAGACAAUCUGAGCACAAGCUCAACAAUUGAGCUUUUCUCCUUAGUUUGCAGGUUAAGAAAGUCAUCGGAGGUCUUAUACCUCUUGACAUAGGCACGAGCCUGAAAUCCCAAUUUCAGCCCUCAAAACAUCUCAUAUGUUUCGCGACGUUUCAAAAAUAUCUUUGGUGCCUCAACUCUAAACCGUUUAACUGAACUAUCACGUAGUUAUCAAAACGUGUAUGUCAGAUGUUCGCAACAACCACAGACAACGUUCGAGGUUCAGCACACUGAGCGGUGCAUUAAGGACAUAAGCCUUCUAUGAAGCAAUGAGGACAAUCCUCAGUUUACGGACCUAGUCCGCAUAAUUGCUACUAUCAACUUUCAACUAAUUUUUCUCUAGGAACAUAUCUAAACAGUAGAACUAUAGCGUGAGCUACGACAUAAUUUGCAAAAUCCUUUUGACUAUGUUCAGGAUAAUUAAGUUCAUCUUAUGAACUCCCACUCAGAUAGACAUCCCUCUAGUCAUCUAAGUGAUUACAUGAUCCGAGUCAAACUAGGCCGUGUCCGAUCAUCACGUGAGACGGACUAGUCAUCAUCGGUGAACAUCUUCAUGUUGAUCGUAUCUUCUAUACGACUCAUGUUCGACCUUUCGGUCUCCGUGUUCCGAGGCCAUGUCUGUACAUGCUAGGCUCGUCAAGUUAACCCUAAGUGUUUCGCGUGUGUAAAUCUGUCUUACACCUGUUGUAUGUGAACGUUAGAAUCUAACACCCGAUCAUCACGUGGUGCUUCGAAACACGAACUGUCGCAACGGUGCACAGUUAGGGGAGAACACUUCUUGAAAUUGUUGUAAGGGAUCAUCUUAUUUACUACCGUCGUUCUAAGAAAAUAAGAUGUAUAAACAUGAUAAACAUCACAUGCAAUCAAAUAGUGACAUGAUAUGGCCAUCAUCACUUUGCUCCUUUUGAUCUCCAUCUUCGGGGCUCCAUGAUCAUCAUCGUCACCGGCAUGACACCAUGAUCUCCAUCAUCAUGAUCUCCAUCAUCGUGUCUUCAUGAAGUUGCCUCGCCAACUAUUACUUCUACUACUAUGGCUAACGGUUAUCAAUAAAGUAAAGUAAUUACAUGACGUUUAAGUUGACACGCAGGUCACAAAUAAAUAAAGACAACUCCUAUGGCUCCUGCCGGUUGUCAUACUCAUCGACAUGCAAGUCGUGAUUUCUAUUACAAGAACAUGAUCAAUCUCAUACAUCACAUAUAUCAUUCAUCACAUCCUUUUUGGCCAUAUCACAUCACAUAGCAUACCCUACAAAAACAAGUUAGACGUCCUCUAAUUGUUGUUUGCAUGUUUUACGUGGCUGAUAUGGGUUUCUAGCAAGAACGUUUCUUACCUACGCAUGAACCACAACGUGAUAUGCCAAUUGCUAUUUACCCUUCAUAAGGACCCUUUUCAUUGAAUCCGAUCCGACUAAAGUGGGAGAGACAGACACCCGCCAGCCACCUUAUGCAACUAGUGCAUGUUUGUCGGUGGAACCGGUCUCACGUAAGCGUACGUGUAAGGUUGGUCCGGGCCGCUUCAUCCCACGAUGCCGCCGAAUCAAGAUAAGACUAGUAACGGCAAGCAUAUUGAACAAUAUCAACGCCCACAACUACUUUGUGUUCUACUCGUGCAAAGAAUCUACGCAAUAGACCUAGCUCAUGAUGCCACUGUGGGGAACGUAGCAGAAAUUCAAAAUUUUCCUACGUAACACCAAGAUCUAUCUAUGGAGAGACCAGCAACGAGUAGAAAGGAGAGUGCAUCUACAUACCCUUGUAGAUCGCUAAGCGGAAGCGUUCAAGUGAACGGGGUUGAUGGAGUCGUACUCGUCGUGAUUCAGAUCACCGAUGAUCCUAGUGCCGAACGGACGGCACCUCCGCGUUCAACACACGUACAGCUCGACGAUGUCUCCCACGCCUUGAUCCAGCAAGGAGAGAGGGAGAGGUUGAGGAAUACUCCAUCCAGCAGCAGCACAACGGCGUGGUGGUGAUGGAGGAGCGUGGCAAUCCUGCAGGGCUUCGCCAAGCACCACGAGAGAGGAGGACGACUUGGGAGAGGGGGAGGGCUGCGCCAGAACUUCGUGUAAAGCUCCCAUGCGUCUCCCCACUAUAUAUAGGGGUGGAGGGGCUGGUUUCUUGCCCUCCAAGUCCAUUGGGGCGUUGGCCAAGGAGGGAGGAAAGAAAUCCCAUCAUUUCCUUCCCCACCGAUUGUUAUCCCCCCUUUUUAGGGAUCUUGAUCUUAUCCCUUCGGGAUAUGAUCUUAUUCCUUCUAAGGGGGAAUCUUGGUGCGCCUUGACCAGGGGUGUGGGGCCUUGCCCCCACUACCCACGUCCAUGUGGGUCCCCCCAUGCAGGUGGGCCCCACUCCGGAACCUUCUAGAACCUUCCCGGUACAAUACCGAAAAAUCCCAAACAUUUUCCGGUGGCCAAAAUAGGACUUCCCAUAUAUAAAUCUUUACCUCCGGACCAUUUCGGAACUCCUCGUGACGUCCGGGAUCUCAUCCGGGACUCCGAACAACAUUCGGUAACCACAUACAAACUUCCUUUAUAACCCUAGCGUCAUCGAACCUUAAGUGUGUAGACCCUACGGGUUCGGGAGACAUGUAGACAUGACCGAGACGUUCUCCGGUCAAUAACCAACAGCGGGAUCUAGAUACCCAUGAUGGCUCCCACAUGUUCCACGAUGAUCUCAUCGGAUGAACCACGAUGUCAAGGACUUAAUCAAUCCCGUAUUCAAUUCCCUUUGUCUAUCGGUAUGUUACUUGCCCGAGAUUCGAUCGUCGGUAUCCAAUACCUUGUUCAAUCUCGUUACCGGCAAGUCACUUUACUCAUUCCGUAACACAUCAUCCCGUGAUCAACUCCUUGGUCACAUUGCGCAUAUGAUGAUGUCCUACCGAGUGGGCCCAGAGAUACCUCUCCGUUUACACGGAGUGACAAAUCCCAGUCUCGAUCCGCAUAAAACAAUAGAUACUUUCGGAGAUACCUGUAGUGCACCUUUAUAGUCACCCAGUUACGUUGUGACGUUUGAUACACCCAAAGCACUCCUACGGUAUCCAGGAGUUACACGCUCUCAUGGUCGAAGGAAGAGAUACUUGACAUUGGAAAAGCUCUAGCAAAUGAACUACACGAUCUUUUGUGCUAGGCUUAGGAUUGGGUCUUGUCCAUCACACGAUUCUCCUAAUGAUGUGAUCCCGUUAUCAACGACAUCCAAUGUCCAUAGCCAGGAAACAAUGACUAUCUGUUGAUCACAACGAGCUAGUCAACUAGAGGCUCACUAGGGACAUAUUGUGGUCUAUGUAUUCACACGUGUAUUACGAUUUCCGGAUAAUACAGUUAUAGCAUGAAUAAAAGACAAUUAUCAUGAACAAGGAAAUAUAAUAAUAAUACUUUUAUUAUUGCCUCUAGGGCAUAUUUCCAACAUUUAUAUCAAUAUUUAUUGCAUUAUGGGUUGUUAUUACACAUUAUGUCACAAUACUUAUGCCUAUUCUCUCUUAUUUUACAAGGUUUACAUAAAGAGGGAGAAUGCCGGCAACUGGGAUUCUGGGCUGGAAAAGGAGCAAAUAUUAGAGACAUAUUCUGGACAGCUCCAAAAGUCCUGAAACUUCAUGGAUGAUGUUUUCCAAAUAUAUAAAAAAUACUGAGCGCAAUAACCUCACCAGGGGGCCACACCGUUCCCACGAGGGUGGGGGGCGCGCCCUACCCCCAGGGCGCGUCCCCCUACCUCGUGGGCUCCUUGGUGGCCCUCCGGUGGCCAUCUUCUGCUAUAUGGAGUCUUUCGAUGGGAAAAAAAUCAUAAGCCAUCUUCUCGGGCGAAACUCCGCCGCCACAAGGCGGAACCUUGGCGGAACCAAUCUAGGGCUCUGGCGGAGCUGUUCUGCCAGAAAAACUUCCCUCCCGGAGGGGGAAAUCAUCGCCAUCGUCAUCACCAACGCUCCUCUCAACGGGAGAGGGCAAUCUCCAUCAACAUCUUCAUCAACACCAUCUCAUCUCAAAACCCUAGUUCAUCUCUUGUAUCCAAUUCUUGUCUCCAAGUUCGGGAUUGGUGCUAGUAGGUUGCUAGUAGUGUUAAUUACUCCUUGUAGUUGAUGCUAGUUGGUUUAAUUGGUGGAAGAUCAUAUGUUCAGAUCCUAUAUGCAUAUUAAUACCCCUAUGAUUAUGAACAUGUUUAUACUUUGUGAGUAGUUACUUUUGUUCCUGAGGACAUGGGAGAAGUCUUGCUAUUAGUAGUCAUGUGAAUUUGGUAUUCAUUCGAUAUUUUGAUGAGAUGUAUGUCGUUUCUUCUCUAGUGGUGUUAUGUGAACGUCGACUACAUGACACUUCACCAUUAUUUGGGCCUAGAGGUAGGCAUUGGGAAGUAAUAAGUAGAUGAUGGGUUGCUAGAGUGACAGAAGCUUAAACCCUAGUUUAUGCGUUGCUUCGUAAGGGGCUGAUUUGGAUCCAUAUGUUUCAUGCUAUGGUUAGGUUUACCUUAAUACUUUUGUUGUAGUUGUGGAUGCUUACAAUAGAGGUUAAUCAUAAGUGGGAUGCUUGUCCAAGUAAGGGCAGCACCCAAGCACCGGUCCACCCACAUACCAAAUUAUCAAAGUACCGAAUGCGAAUCAUAGGAACGUGAUGAAAACUAGCUUGAUGAUAUUUCCAUGUGUCCUCGGCAGCGCUUUUCUUUAUAUAAGAGUUUGUCCAGGCUUGUCCUUUGCUACAAAAAGGAUUGGGCCACCUUGCUGCACUUUAUUUACUUUUGUUACUUGUUGCUCGUUACAAAUUAUCCUAUCACAAAACUAUCUGUUACCACUUAUUUAGUACUUGCGGGAAGUAUCUUGCUGGAAACCGCUUAUCAUUUCAUUCUGCUCCUCGUUGGGUUCGACACUCUUACUUAUCGAAAGGACUACGAUAGACCCCCUAUUCUUGUGGGUCAUCAUAACUCCGAUUGGGCUGAAAUUUGGACACGAUUUUUAUACGGAUAUUGGAUUUCUUGCAGCAAAAGAAGGGCACCAACGGCCUUACGGGGUGGCCACGAGGGCUCAGGGCGCGCCUAACCCCCUGGGGCGCGCACCCCUGCCUCGUGGCCCCCUCGGGCAUCGCCCUGCGUUGAUUCUUUUUCCCAAAAAUCACAUAUAUUCGAAAAAAAUCUUCGUUAGUUUUUAUCCCGUUUGAACUCCGUUUGAUAUGGAUUUUCUGCGAAAUAAAAAACAUGCAACAAACAGGAACUGGCACUGGGCACUGGAUCGAUACGUUAGUCCCAAACAUAGUAUAAAAAGUUGACAAAACUAUAUGAAAGUUGUAGAAUAUAGGUAUGGAACAAUCAAAAAUUAUAGAUACAACGGAGACGUAUCAGCAUCCCCAAGCUUAAUUCCUGCUCGUCCUCAAGUAGGUAAAUGAUAAAAAAGAUAAUUUUUGAUAUCGAAUGCUACCUAGCAUAAUCUUGAUCAUGUAAUCUAAUCAUGACAUGAAUAUUAAGACACGAGUGAUUCAAAGCAAUAGUCUAUCAUUUGACAUUAAGAAAAUAAUACUUCAAGCAUACUAAUAAAGCAAUCAUGUCUUUUCAAAAUAACAUGGCCAAAGAAAGUUAUCCCUACAAAAUCAUAUGGUCUAGCUAUGCUCCAUCUUCACCACACAAAAUAUUCAAAUCAUGUACAACCCCGAUGACAAGCCAAGCAAUUGUUUCAUACUUUUGAUGUUCCCAAACCUUUUCAACUUUCACGUAAUACAUUAGCGUGAGCCAUGGACAUAGCACUAUAGGUGGAAUAGAAUAUGAUGAUGGAGGUUGUGUGGAGAAUACAAAAAGGAGAGAGUCUCACAUUGACGCGGCUAAUCAACGGGCUAUGGAGAUGCCCAUUGUCGGCGUCCUGGGAAUGGGGGUCCCCAGACUUGCCUGCAUGCGGCCCACGACGUGGCUGGGCUGGCAGGUCUGUAUGACCCAUCUUCAUUGACAAGGCAUUCAAGACCCUCGCGAGGGGCCAAGCCUCGCGAGGCGGACGACGCAAGACCUCCUCAGGAGCGGCCACGCAGGCAGGCUCGCAAGGGGCGGAGAGAUCAAGGCGGGGCAAACCUCGCGAGGUCCUCGUGACGUAAGCCAUGACGAUCAAGACCAGGCGGGCGCCAAGCGGGCGCCAACGCGCGCAAUGUCCUUGUUUCCUCUUUGGUGCCAAGGGGGAAAGUGCAGGUGCGGAGUACCGAGGCAUUAUGCAAAGGUUUUCGUAUUGGUGCAACAAGACCAAGAUCCGAAGGACGGCUGGACGGAGGUCACCAUGGAGCACAAGACGACGUCACCACCAGAGCCUUUGGCAGGCGAAGACCAUCUUUUGUGAGGAUAACUUGUACUAGUUGUCCCCUUUCGAAUUGGCCGUUGUUGGCUCCCUUCCCGCACAAUAUUUGGAAAGAGGACGAGAGCCUAUAUAAGUAGAACUAGCCUCCACAGUAAGGAGGGACGACGGACGAUGAACGAUGAGAGAAAAGAGAGAGGAAAGGGGGAGAAGAGAGCACAAGUGAAUGAGAGACAAGUGAGGAUCGACCUGAUCACGAAUCCACUAAGCACAAGAACACCUCAACCUCAUGAGGCUGUUCUUCCCUUUGUAACUGUUCUUCAUCAGCCCAAGAGGCAAUCCACCACCACUACACUGGAGUAGGGUAUUACACCACAACGGUGGUCCGAACCAGUAUAAAUCUUGUGUCUUUCUGUGCUGUGAGUUCAUUGAGUCCGUCUGUGAGAUCUUAGAGAGCUAGGGCGCGGAUCGAUAGGGAGAAAACCUUCGCGCGCACCCCAGUGGUCCAACCUCGAGGGUUUGCCAGAACCCGUGAUCCUACAUUUGGCGCGCCGGGUAGGGGUGCGCUGAAGCUUCCUUCCAUCGCUCUGUGCUCUGUUGCUUCGCCGUCUCCAUGGCAGACGCGUGCCGUGCUCGUGCCGAGCGCCGAGAUGCCCUCGCUGCCCACGUUGCUCAGACGGCUCCGGUCGGCGGGCCGCCUCGUCGUUCCCCGUCGCCUUCCGCCAACGUCGCCACCGGACUGACGGGGAACGAGCAGCAAGCAUCCUCGCUGCAUCCCUCGGUGCGGCGGGAUGGCCACACCGACACUCCAUCGCUGACCCUGACCGGUUCUUCUUCCCAUGCACGUCGCCCUCCCAUGGAUGCACGGGCUGCGCUCGUCAUGGCGCACGAGCUCCUGCGCUACCGUCCGGUCGACAACCUCUAUGAGGAUUGGCUCGACCGCAUCGCUGAGCUUGUCCGCGCCGCAGGGGGAUCCCCUGUGUCGUCCCUCUCUCCGCCUCGCCCUCCGCCAGUUACGGGCGACGUAGCUCACGGAGCGCCUCCACCACCUUAGCCCCAAGACGGCGCCCUGGCGCCAAGAUGCGUGGGUCCGCGACGCGACCCGCCACGUCCUGUGCCCGCGCGUGAAGAGAGAAGCUGUCAAGAAGUCCCUCGGCCGCAACAAAACGCUACGCCGCUCCUCACACCAUCGCGCCAGGACCGGCUGCUGCGGCAAGCCCGCGCGCCACCUAUUGCGGCAGGAAGCGGACCCCAUCAAGACCAAGCUCCACUCCCGAGGCAGGUCCCGGUGACCACAGUUGGCUGCCGUGCCUUCACCCUCGAGCAAGUUCAAGCCAGAUCUACCUCCUCGCUACGACGACACCCCCGACCCCGAAGAGUUCUUCCAACUCUAUGAGCUGAGCAUCGAAGUGGCCAACGGCGACGAGAAGGUCAUGGCGAACUGGUUUCCCAUGGCUCUCAAGGAAGGCGCACGCUCCUGGCUUCUGAACCUGCCUCCGGGCUCAAUCUUCUCCUGGGACGAAAUGCGCACCCGCUUCAUCGCCAACUUCCAGGGCACUCGCGACCGCCCCCGGUCGCGGGCGACCUGCGCCACAUGAAGCAACAACCAGGAGAGACCCUGUAGAAAUACAUUCAGCGCUUCAACAGCGCACGGAUCAAGAUCCCCAAGGUGACCGACAAAGCCAUCAUCUCUGCGUUCUCUGAUGGCGUCCGCGACGUCAAGAUGAAGGAGGAGCUCGCCAUCCAUGAAGUGUUGUGCACGAUCCUGGAGCUGUUCAACAUCGCGACCAAGUGUGCUAGAGCUGAGGAGGGGUGCCUCUCCCUCCUCGAGCUUCCUGCUGCGGACCUAGAGGAGAAGAAGGCCAAGGCCAAGGACGUGAAGCGCAAGGGAGCAGCCGUGCUUGCAGCGGAACCAGACACCAAGCGUGGCAGAGACCAACCAGAGUCAUCCAAGGGCAGCCGUUCGUUCUGCGCCUUCCACAACCUGAACACCCACAAUACCAGCGACUGUCAAGAGCUCAGAGCCAUUCGCGAAGGGCGCUUCGGUCGACGCCCCGAGCACGGCGACCGGGGCUAAAACCGAGGAGGAGGGCGUGGUGGCGGACGCUGGGACGACCGUGGCCCGCGCCAGGAGUGGCGCAAUCGGUCUCGCGGGGACCGCUGGCAGGAUCAGUCUCGCGAGGGCGCCUGGAGAGAUCAGCCUCGUGAGGAUCGUCCUCAAGGCAACGUCGGGCUCCCACCGUUGCCACCACCGCCAAGAAGGAAUGACGAACACUAUCAGGACGAGGGGGCUGGAGGCUUCCAGGAACCACGCACUAUCGCCUGCAUCUUGGGCAGAGCACGGCCCCCAGCCUCGCAGCGUAUCUUCAAGCAAUUUGCUCGUGAAGUGAAUGCGGUCCUCCCCAAGCUCGAAGCCACGCGCCCGCUCAAAUGGUCCCAGUGCCCCAUUACGUUCAACUCGGCAGACCAGCUCAAGUGCGCAGCUACCGCUGGCACCCUCCCGAUACUUUGCUCCUCAGUCAUCAGCAACGUGCAAGUUAUCAAGACCCUCAUCGACGGCGGUGCAAGGCUCAACGUCCUAUCCGUCGACACGUUCGACAGCCUCCUGCUACCUCUUGAGCACUGCGUUGGAUUUCUCCGAAGAGGAAGGGAUGAUGCAGCAAAGUAGCGUAAGUAUUUUCCUCAGUUUUUGAGAACCAAGGUAUCAAUCCAGUAGGAGACUACGCGCGAGUCCCUCGCACCUGCACAAAACAAAUAAAUCCUCGCAACCAACGCAAAUAGGGGUUGUCAAUCCCUAUAGGGCCACUUACGAGAGUGAGAUCUGGUAGAUAUGAUAAGAUAAAUUUUUUGGUAUUUUUAUGAUAAAAGAUGGAAAGUAAAAUAAAGGCAAAGUAAAUAGCAAAGGAAAUAACUAAGUAGUAGGAGAUCAAUAUGAUAAAGAUAGAAUUGAGCAUAAGUAUUCACUAGUGGCUUCUCUCGGGGGCCAUAGGUUUCACUAGUGGCUUCUCUCAAGAGCAUAAGUAUUCUACGGUGGGUGAACAAAUUACUGUUGAGCAAUUGACAGAAUUGAGCAUAGUUAUGAGAAUAUCUAGGUAUGAUCAUGUAUAUAGGCAUCACGUCCGAGACAAGUAGACCGACUCCUGCCUGCAUCUACUACUAUUACUCCACUCAUCGACCGUUAUCUAGCAUGCAUCAAGAGUAUUAAGUUAAAAAUAGAGUAACGCCUUAAGCAAGAUGACAUGAUGUAGAGGGAUAGACUCAUGCAAUAUGAAGAAAACCCCAUCUUGUUAUCCUUGAUGGCAACAAUACAAUACGUGCCUUGCUGCCCUUACUGUCACCGGGAAAGGACACCGCAAGAUUGAACCCAAAGCUAAGCACUUCUCCCAUUGCAAGAAAGAUCAAUCUAGUAGCCCAAACCAAACUGAUAAUUCAAAGAGACUUGCAAAGAUAACCAAUCAUACAUAAAAGAAUUCAGAUAAGAUUCAAAUAUUAUUCAUAGAUAGACUUGAUCAUAAACCCACAAUUCAUCGGUCUCAACAAACACACCGCAAAAGAAGAUUACAUCGAAUAGAUCUCGACAAGAGAGGGGGAGAACAUUGUAUUGAGAUCCAAAAAGAGAGAAGAAGCCAUCUAGCUACUAUGGACCCGUAGGUCUGAGGUAAACUACUCACACUUCAUCAGAGAGGCUAUGGUGUUGAUGUAGAAGCCCUCCGUGAUCGAUGCCCCCAUCGGCGAAGCUCCGGAACAGGCCCCAAGAUGGGAUCUCGUGGAUACAGAAAGUUAUGGCGGUGGAAUUAGGGUUUUGGCUCCUCUUCUGAUCGUUUGGGGGUACGUGGAUAUAUAUAGGAGGAAGGAGUACGUCGGUGGAGCAACAGGGGGCCCACGAGGGUGGAGGGCGCGCCUGGUGGGGGUAGGCGCCCCCUUCUUCGUGGCCUCCUCUUUUCUUUCUUGACGUAGGGUCCAAGUCUUCCGGGUCUUGUUCGUUAAGAAAAUCACGUUCCCGAAGAUUUCAUUCCGUUUGAUAUUCCUUUUCUUCGAAACCCUAAAACGGGUAAAAAACAGCAAUUUUGGGUUGGGCCUCCGGUUAAUAGGUUAGUACCAAAAAUAAUCUAAAAGUGGAUAAUAAAGCCCAAUAAUGUCCAAACCAGUAGAUAAUAUAGCAUGGAGCAAUCAAAAAUUAUAGAUACGUUGGAGACGUAUCAAGCAUCCCCAAGCUUAAUUCCCGCCCGUCCUCGAGUAGGUAAAUGAUAAAAACAGAUUUUUUGAUGCAGAGUGCUACUUGGCAUAAUUUUAAUAUAAUUCUUCUUAAUUGUGGUAUGAAUAUUCAAAUCCGAAAGAUGCAAGAUAAAAGUUCAGAUUGACAUAAAAAUAAUAAUACUUCAAGCAUACUAACUAAGCAAUUAUGUCUUCUCAAAAUAACAUGGCCAAAGAAAGUUCAUCCCUACAUAAUCAUAUGGUUUAGUCAUGUUUCAUUUUCGUCACACAAGAAUGCUCUCAUAAUGCACAACCCCGAUGACAAGCCAAGCAAUUGUUUCAUACUUUAGUUCUCAAACCUAUAAACUUUCAUGCAAUAUAUGAGCGCGAGCCAUGAAUAUAGCACUAUAGGUGGAAUAUAAUAUAAUGAGGGGGGUUAUGUGGAGAAGACAAAAGAGAAGAAAGUCUCACAUCAACGAGGCUAAUCAAUGGGCUAUGAAGAUGCCCACCGAUUGAUGUUAAUGCAAGGAGUAGGGAUUGCCAUGCAACAGAUGCACUAGAGCUAUAAAUGUAUGAAAGCUCAACAAAAGAAACUCGUGAGUGUGCAUCCAACUUGCUUGCUCACGAAGAUCUAGGGCACUUUAGAAGGCCCAUUGUUGGAAUAUACAAGCCAAGUUCUAUAAUAAAAUUUCCCAGUAGUAUAUGAAAGUGACAAAACAAGAGACUUUCUAACAUAAAGAUUAUGGUGCUACUUUGAAGCACAAGUGUGGCAAAGGAUAGUAACAUUGUCUCUUUUUUUUUUCUUUUUUUUAUGGUCUUUCUCUUUUUAUGGCCCUUCUCUUUUUUUACUUCAGAAACAGCUAUCGGAAUCGUUGGUGUUGCCUUGUGAUUCGAAUUAAGUGCGUGGUCCGAUUCUAUAUUCAGUCUCUUUGAUGAAUUAUUGGAGGUAGGGUGGCAGGCCAAGUACUGACCACUUUAUGCUUCACGGGCUGACAAAAGCCUGCGGCCUAUGGUUCAAGUCCAAGCUUUCCUUUGUUUUGCUAUCACGAGCGUGUCUAUUCCAGGUUCCACGCCUUACCAAAAAAAACUUGUGCAGGUUCCGCUGCAUACGACAACAAGUUACGGCCUCGUAUUCUCGCACGUGACAUAGAUGGACCACAGAGCGUAGGUUCGGUUCAUUCGACGUGACGGGUCCAAACACAUCCUUCGAGCGAACCUACAACAGCGUUGUGUGGAACCUGGGAUGUUUCCCAUUUUCAGCUGUGUAUGUGUGCAAAGCUGCUCAAGUGCUAGCUAGUACAUGUACGUAUCAAAAACUUCAGCAAUGUCUAUACGGCUUGUACAUAUGUAUAUGUUUCUAAAUACCUGAGCGCUGGUUUGUAAGUACGCCUACCUAUGGAAACGCACACGUACAGGUAGCUGUAUGUAAAAAGAAAAAAACCGGUUCGUGGUGUGGUAUGGGCGGCGGCCGGUUCAGUCUUCGUGUUUACUGGGGCUUCAGAUUUUCAUUAUCCGGUUCCACGGCAGUGAUCGAGCGGUUAGCAGGUUGCCAGUUCCAACCUUUUGUUGGUCUUUCGGCCCUUCCCUUUACAUAAAAAAAAUGGUUCGUGGGUUGCCGGUUCCAUCGUCCCAUUGAAUGGGGCUUCACAUUUUCGUCCUCUGGUUCAGUGAUGGCGGUCAAGCGGUCCACCCUUUUGUUGAUAUUUCGAUGGGCAACUCUUCAAAAAGAAAAAAUGGUUGGUGGGUUGGCAUGGUUGUCGCUCAGUUCCAUCGUCCCAUUGACCGGGACUUCACCUUGCGAUCCUCCGGUUCCAUGGUAGUGAUCAAGCGGUUCAACCUUUUAUUGGUCUUCACGUCAGCCCCUUUUCACAUAAAAAUGGUUCGCAGGGUGGUAUGAUGGGCGUCCGGUUCGGUCGUCCUAUCGACGGGGCUUCAGGUUUUCAAUGUCCGGUUCCAAGUACAGUUUUGACGGUUCCGUGGAGGUGGGACAUCAUCCCUUCGCAAAUUCUAUUUCAGUUCCAAAUAUAGUUUUAACGGUUCGACGAAGGUGAGACGUCGGUCCUUCGCAAAUUCUAUUCCAGUUCCAAGUAUAAUUUUGACGGUUCCGCGGAGGUGGGAUGUCGCCCUUCGCAAAUUGCAUUCCAGUUCCAAGUAUAAUUUUGCCGGUUCCGAGGAGGUGGGGCGUUGUCCCUUCGCAAAUUCUAUUCCAGUUCCAAGUAUAGUUUUGACGGUUCCACGGAGGUGGGACGUUGUCCCUUCGCAAAUUCUAUUCCAGUUCCAAGUAUAGUUUUGAUGGUUCGACGGAGGUGAGACGUCGGUCCUUCGCAAAUUCUAUUCCAGAUGCAAGUAUAAUUUUGACGGUUCCGCGGAGGAGGGACGGCGGCCCUUCACAAAUUGUAUUCAAGUUCCAAGUAUAAUUUUGACCGUCCCACAAAGGUACAUCUGCUUCUUCUAGUUUUUUUAAGAGAGAUGUCCUUCUUUCUAGUUGUUCUCUCUUGAGGAAACUAUAAGUACAAGUGACAGAGAGCGCAUGUGAGAAAAUAAAGAGAAACGUUGCAGCCAAGAAAGUGAGCACACAUGCACAAGCUUGCUGGUCCUCUACAUCUUCUACGAUGGGUUAGCACAAGCAUCCACGAGAUGGAAAACACUAGCACAUGUGCAUAGGUACUAAUCAAGAGUAGAGUAGGUAGUAGCAUGCCCGGUGGGCUCGGUAGCUUGCCCUCCUGAUGUGCAGAAGGACCCCCUCUUUGAAGUACUUGUUGCAUGGGACGUCAUCUUAUUUUGGUCGCAUCUAUUUUAUCUUAUGGCUAGAGGUUCCAUCUGGCUGGUCAUAUGGGUCUUGUCCUCGUCACUCCCCUGUCGCAAACAACUGGACCACUGAUACUGCCCCGCACAGCUGCAGCCUUUGUCAGGCAAACCGACCACAGAAACUCCCCAAAACCCUCCUUAUUUUCUCUCUCACACACACUCAGCACGAAUCACGGGGAGUAUUGUUGACACAAUUUUACCGAGAUUCCCUACCAGAACGUACGUGGGUCACAACUAUCGGAACCGUAGGUUCAUGCGUUGAGAUCAGAACCUUUGGCUCAGACCACUUCCUUUUCUCUCUUCACAUCUAAUUUAUUUCGCAUCUACAACUGUCCAACAUACUGACAACUCUGUGCAAAAGGUUCUGGCUCAAAGUCUGUUGCUGCUGGACCGUCAGCGUCUCCUGGCAUAGUUGUGUCACGGGCCUCUAGUGACGGUUCCAAUUUUUUUGUUUUUAGUGAUGCUAAAGUUCCAUGUGUGAAUAUACGUUACGGCCCCGUUUCCCCCUGGUUGUAAUAGUCCUUUUGACUUUAUUUACUUUAUUAUAGAUAAACUACGCUCUUACCCUACGUACAGUUCUAUAAAGUAUCUAGAUGGGCAGUGUGGGAUCCGAUAACACUAAUCAGGAACCGUAAUUCUGGUCUGUAGUUUUAUUUUGUCUUUUGCGCUCAUUUCUUUUUUGCCAAACUUAUACUACAAGACAGCACAUGCUCCACACUGAAGCCACGCCAUAAAACAAUGAAAACGUCAACUAACUGGAACCUUAUUUUCAGGACCGAUUCAAUGCAACGUCCAAACGGAAGUAUUCAUUCAGCUUUACAUUCGAUCAAAGUUGUACAAAAUUCAAAAGGUUGUUAAAAAAUGUUCGUUGAUUCACAAAAAAAAAAGUCUAAGAUAUAUAGUUUUAGAUAAAAUAUAAAGGGGAAAGGACCAGAUUUAACGACUUCACAGAAAGAAGAAAGUCUAGCACCAACCCAAACCACUGGCUCACAGCCACAACAUGAAAAAAAUAGGCCCACAAAAAAAAUAGAACACCAGCUCACAGCCUCACCGUGCAGGGCGCCUGCAGCCCCUGUCUUCGUUGUCGUCGUCUCCUCAGUCGAGGCAUGGGGCUCACCACAGUCUUUGUUGCUCGCAGAAGAGGAUAGGGGCCCGAGUCAUUUUCCUCAUCGUCAGGUGGCCUCACCAGAUCUGGAGGUAGAGAGCAGCCGGUGCUCCAAAUCGAUGGCGCUGGUGCGACUCAUGUGAGAGGAGGAUCGGCGUGGUGCGGUGGAGGAAGUGAGUACAGGAGCGAGAGAUUGAGAAUGGCGUGAUUCAGUUCUGGGGAGAAGAGAGAGAGAGGUGAGGGCCACGUGUGGGGUGAGGUAAGAGAAAUUAAUGGGGAGGUGGAGGAACUAUCGAGAGUUCUGGACGUGGCUGAGAGAGAAAAAAAAGAGGUCCAUGCGUGAAGUGGUGUACUGAGCAACUAGAGCCUUUUUC